rnacentral:lncRNA from 1 species
UUAGGUUUACGGAGCGGCUACAAAGAGAGACACACAUUCUUUGUUUGUUUAUUGUGCUCACACCCACAUAACAGAGCAUAUUUUCUUCAAAAAUGGAAGAUGUGAUAACAGAAGCAGCACCACCAUCAAGAUUACUAGAAGAAGACCUAAACAAUUUCACACCAUCUUCUCCACCACUCCCUUCACCUUUUCUCCUCUUCCCUCACACACAACAACAACAACAACCUCUCAAACCCACACUCCUCAUCAUCGCUAUCUCUUCUCCCUCUCUCUCCCUUUUCCACAAUCUCCUCACCCCACAAACCCUAACCUCCUCUCUCAUCCUCCCUGAACUCCCUCUCUCCUAUCCUAACAACACCAUCAACAUCCACUCUCUCUCUUCCACCAUCCUCCUCGCCGCCGUUCAAAACCCUAUCCCUGAUAAUCGCGCUUACGCCGUCGCUGAAAUCCUCCUCAGCAACCAGAUCUGCCCUGAUUCGGUUAUUAUACUUGAUUCUAUCCAGCCGAUGAAUCACCGUGGUCUGCUUUCUUCCGACGAGGCGGUUGCAUUCAAGCUGGAGAGUUUUGCCGAAAGGAAGAAGGCGAAUGAGGAGAAAUUGUUGGGAGGAUUGGAUUAUUACCCGUCUGGAAGCGUUGUUGAUGGACUCGGUGCCGCCAUUCUUGGACGGUGUCAGAUUUUGAAAAUUAGGGCUAGCUUGUGUGUUACUUGGCCUCAAUUUGAUUCAGAUGUUGUUUUGUUGUUGAAGGAUUUGCUUCGAGGUUUGGGUGAGUUUGAGUUUGGGUUUAGUGAUGAUGAGGUUUUCAAAUUUGGGAGGAGUAAGGAUCAUGUUUUUCAAUCUCACUUGUAUAUUUGAUUAGAUUUAUUACAAUGUGUGUUUAACAUUUAGUUCUCAAUGAUUUGAAUGUUUUGGAAUUAUGAUGGUUAUGAAUAGUUAUCUAGUCUUUGCUUUAUUGUUGUGUUGCUUUUAUAUUUUGUCAAUUUUAUUCUACAAAUUGCCAUGAAAAUUUGCAAUAUCUUGCUUUACUGGGAAGAGCUUCUAUAGCUAUCUGAAUGUCACUUUCAAUAUCUAAUAGCUUUGUUCUUUAAUUUGUUAACUUUAACAAUGACAAUUGGUUGUGGAUAUCAAAUUUGCAUUUAGAUUCACAGUAUUAAACUAUCUAAGGUUAUGACUUAUAGUGGAUCUCCAUUGUUAUUUAAAUCUUUUUACCAAAUGAUUCAUCUGUGUCCUAUAUUUGUAAUGUGAGGUUAAUUGGUUGCAAUGUUGAUUGGUAGCUAAUAAAAGUACAUUUGAUCUUUAUGCUCUUUUGAAUUGAAUGCUUGCUCAGUUUUGUGUUGUCAUCUUGAAACUACUGGUUUUGUUACUGGCAUUGUGAUUGAUGUCAAUAUACUGCAUCAAGUCGUGCUUGUGGGUCACAUGGAUACAAAUGUAACUGUGGCAUGCAACCUACAACCACAAUGUGAUUGUUAAGGCAAUGUAAUACCCUGAUUAUAACAAAUAGUUAUGAUCAAUGUAACCCUAAACCCUUUCGAGGACAUCCAUAGCUUAGUCCAAAUAAAUUUUGGAUCAUCAUAGAUCUUAUUGGAUCAGAUGAUGCUACAUGUUUUUAAAGCUGUAGAUUUGAAUGAUGGCUAGACAUAUUUUUUUUUUCUUGCUGCCUCUAGUGUUGUGUAUCAUUGAUAAAAGAACUCAAUAGUUUACAAAUGUGAUUUCUGUGUCCAGAAUUCUCUAGAAAAUCUUAUUCUUCACUUGUAUCUAGUGAUUUAUGUUUUUUUUUGUUUUGUUAACGUAUCUCUUCUAAAUGUAAUUUAGGAUGCUUUGAAUGCUUUAAUAGAAUAGAUUUUAAUGUUAUCUGUUGAUCUUUAUGCUCUUUUGAAUUGAAUAUUAUGCUACUGUCAUGAGAGGAUCCCUUCCCUACAAUAAUAGUGAUUGUUUGCGGGCCACAUCGGUCCAAAUGUAACUGUCAUGCAAUAGAGCAGAUGUUGUUAAGGCAAUGUGAUAUCCUGACCAUAAUCGGUAUAUAUGAUUGAUGUAAUUCUUUUCAAGACAUGUAUAUAGCAUAGUCCAAUAAGUUUUGAUACAUCAUAGAACAAAAUUCAUUUGGACCAUACUGCACUUUUCUUUUCAUGCUACUCAAAAUGUUUUUUUUUAGUGGUGGCCAAGCUUUGAACCUUGGACCUUGCAUAUAUUAUGUAUUGUUUAUACAAAUUGAAUUAAGCUCACGAGGACAAAUGUUUAUACAAGUUAUAGAUGGUAGAAGUCAAUUAAACGAAGUGUUUAGUAGACAAUAAGAGUUGUGUGAAACAUAUUUUUCAUGUUGUCUCGACAUUGGUGGUGUUUAUCAUUGAGAUACGGAACCCAUCUAGUGUAAGCUCUACAAGCAAUUACUAAUAUGUUUUUCUUGUCCAAAAUUCAGUACAGAAGUUUAUUACUUUUCUUUAGCAUAUGUUUGGUUUGAUGUUGAAAUUAUCAAUCUCGCAGAGGAAUUGGAGUUUUCCAAACCCAUACUUAGUCUGUGUAUCAAUAGUGAAACUUGAUUGGAUCUGCAUUGGGUAACUUCCAACCCAGAUCUUGAUUUGCUAGCCUUGACUGAUCUUUAACCCAAACUUGAAAUUAAAAAUAAUUCUCAAAAGGGAGGAUAAACAUGCGAUUUUGUCAAAAAUUUGGUGAUGAUGAGGUUUUCAAAUUUGGGAGGAGUAAGGUUCAUGUUUUUCAAUCUCACUUAUAUAUUUGAUUAGAUUUAUUACAAAGUGUCUGUUUAACAUGUAGUUCUCGAUGAUUUGAAUGUUUUGGAAUUAUGAUGGUUAUGAAUAGUUAUCUAGUCUUUGCUUUAUUGUUGUGUUGCUUUUAUANCAACGAGCAUCAAGCUCGGGGGCUUUGCAUAGUCAAAAGAAGGUGCUCAACGAGCAUAGAGCUCGGGGAUUUCACCCGGUUAAAAGAAUUCUCCCAAGGAUUAUAAAGCUCAGGGGGCUGAAGAAAGCCUUAUAAGACUUCCAGACAUGUCUAUUGAAGUAAACAUAUAUAAAUUUGUUAAGGUUUUUUUUUUUAUAUAUAUAUAACAAAUGUAAGUACAUUACCUAUUUAAGUAAACAUGUAUAAAUUUUUGGAGAAAACUUAGGUACAAUUCCUUAAGUGCUUUUCGUAUGGUUGUGAACUAAAUUCACCAUGAUUUCCUCAAAUCCAUAAUUUUCUCCUAAAUUUUUUAUUAUUUUUUCUAACAAAUAUUAGUACGUUAACUGUUGUAUACAUAUUUUAUCCCUUACUAAUAUUUGAACCGUACACUUUUAACUUGGUAAUUUUUUUUUAUUCAAAAUUUUUCUCAUAUCAUAUCUCAACUCUUGAAAUAGAUUUUUCGUUGCUUCUAAAUUUUCAUUAGGCAUGACCUAUAAAAUAAAAAUAAUCUGUUUAAUAGGUAAAUAUGUAAUACACAUCAUUAACAAUGUGAUUAGGUAGAAUAAAUUUAAGCAUUAAAAAAUAGAAUAUAUUUCAGUUUGACUAAGCUAUGUAUCCAUAUUUUAAAAUCCGAUUAGUCGUGUAUAUGAUUAUCUUUAAUUAAAAUACAUGCUUCAUUCGUUCUUAAAUAUAAGAUCUUUUUAGUCGAAUCAUGGGAAAUAAAAAAAUUGGUAGUAAUAUUAAAUUUGUUUAUAAUUAUUAUUCUUACGAUUUUAUCAUUUAAGAGAUUGUUUAUGUUUUCAACAUAAUAGUAUUUAUUGUUGAUUGAAGAAAAAUAUGUAAAAUAAAUAUGGGUAUGUUGGUAAAAAAAUAAUUAAUAUAGUUUUGUUUAUGGAAAAUAAUUAAUAUAGUUGAAAAUGCCAAAUGGUCUUAUAAAGAGAUAAAUAAAUUUAAGUUUUUUUUAGUCUCGUUUUGGUGCCUUCUGUUAGGUCUCCGUUAGUUUUAAUAAUAAACGUUAAGUGUGGACACGUGUCACCUCGUCAUUGGCUCUGAGAUUUUUUAUUUUAUUUUUUAAAAAAUUUAUUUAAGGGACCAAAAGAGCAUUUAAGCCUAUUUAUAAAGAUUAAAAAAAAAAACAUAUUUAAACCAAAGAUUUAUCGUUGUGUCGAACCAAAUGUAACUCGCUUUGUGAAACUCAUCAAACUCAUCUUGUCCUUCACUCCACCUUAGGUUUACGGAGCGGCUACAAAGAGAGACACACAUUCUUUGUUUGUUUAUUGUGCUCACACCCACAUAACAGAGCAUAUUUUCUUCAAAAAUGGAAGAUGUGAUAACAGAAGCAGCACCACCAUCAAGAUUACUAGAAGAAGACCUAAACAAUUUCACACCAUCUUCUCCACCACUCCCUUCACCUUUUCUCCUCUUCCCUCACACACAACAACAACAACAACCUCUCAAACCCACACUCCUCAUCAUCGCUAUCUCUUCUCCCUCUCUCUCCCUUUUCCACAAUCUCCUCACCCCACAAACCCUAACCUCCUCUCUCAUCCUCCCUGAACUCCCUCUCUCCUAUCCUAACAACACCAUCAACAUCCACUCUCUCUCUUCCACCAUCCUCCUCGCCGCCGUUCAAAACCCUAUCCCUGAUAAUCGCGCUUACGCCGUCGCUGAAAUCCUCCUCAGCAACCAGAUCUGCCCUGAUUCGGUUAUUAUACUUGAUUCUAUCCAGCCGAUGAAUCACCGUGGUCUGCUUUCUUCCGACGAGGCGGUUGCAUUCAAGCUGGAGAGUUUUGCCGAAAGGAAGAAGGCGAAUGAGGAGAAAUUGUUGGGAGGAUUGGAUUAUUACCCGUCUGGAAGCGUUGUUGAUGGACUCGGUGCCGCCAUUCUUGGACGGUGUCAGAUUUUGAAAAUUAGGGCUAGCUUGUGUGUUACUUGGCCUCAAUUUGAUUCAGAUGUUGUUUUGUUGUUGAAGGAUUUGCUUCGAGGUUUGGGUGAGUUUGAGUUUGGGUUUAGUGAUGAUGAGGUUUUCAAAUUUGGGAGGAGUAAGGAUCAUGUUUUUCAAUCUCACUUAUAUAUUUGAUUAGAUUUAUUACAAUGUGUGUUUAACAUUUAGUUCUCAAUGAUUUGAAUGUUUUGGAAUUAUGAUGGUUAUGAAUAGUUAUCUAGUCUUUGCUUUAUUGUUGUGUUGCUUUUAUAUUUUGUCAAUUUUAUUCUACAAAUUGCCAUGAAAAUUUGCAAUAUCUUGCUUUACUGGGAAGAGCUUCUAUAGCUAUCUGAAUGUCACUUUCAAUAUCUAAUAGCUUUGUUCUUUAAUUUGUUAACUUUAACAAUGACAAUUGGUUGUGGAUAUCAAAUUUGCAUUUAGAUUCACAGUAUUAAACUAUCUAAGGUUAUGACUUAUAGUGGAUCUCCAUUGUUAUUUAAAUCUUUUUACCAAAUGAUUCAUCUGUGUCCUAUAUUUGUAAUGUGAGGUUAAUUGGUUGCAAUGUUGAUUGGUAGCUAAUAAAAGUACAUUUGAUCUUUAUGCUCUUUUGAAUUGAAUGCUUGCUCAGUUUUGUGUUGUCAUCUUGAAACUACUGGUUUUGUUACUGGCAUUGUGAUUGAUGUCAAUAUACUGCAUCAAGUCGUGCUUGUGGGUCACAUGGAUACAAAUGUAACUGUGGCAUGCAACCUACAACCACAAUGUGAUUGUUAAGGCAAUGUAAUACCCUGAUUAUAACAAAUAGUUAUGAUCAAUGUAACCCUAAACCCUUUCGAGGACAUCCAUAGCUUAGUCCAAAUAAAUUUUGGAUCAUCAUAGAUCUUAUUGGAUCAGAUGAUGCUACAUGUUUUUAAAGCUGUAGAUUUGAAUGAUGGCUAGACAUAUUUUUUUUUUCUUGCUGCCUCUAGUGUUGUGUAUCAUUGAUAAAAGAACUCAAUAGUUUACAAAUGUGAUUUCUGUGUCCAGAAUUCUCUAGAAAAUCUUAUUCUUCACUUGUAUCUAGUGAUUUAUGUUUUUUUUUGUUUUGUUAACGUAUCUCUUCUAAAUGUAAUUUAGGAUGCUUUGAAUGCUUUAAUAGAAUAGAUUUUAAUGUUAUCUGUUGAUCUUUAUGCUCUUUUGAAUUGAAUAUUAUGCUACUGUCAUGAGAGGAUCCCUUCCCUACAAUAAUAGUGAUUGUUUGCGGGCCACAUCGGUCCAAAUGUAACUGUCAUGCAAUAGAGCAGAUGUUGUUAAGGCAAUGUGAUAUCCUGACCAUAAUCGGUAUAUAUGAUUGAUGUAAUUCUUUUCAAGACAUGUAUAUAGCAUAGUCCAAUAAGUUUUGAUACAUCAUAGAACAAAAUUCAUUUGGACCAUACUGCACUUUUCUUUUCAUGCUACUCAAAAUGUUUUUUUUUAGUGGUGGCCAAGCUUUGAACCUUGGACCUUGCAUAUAUUAUGUAUUGUUUAUACAAAUUGAAUUAAGCUCACGAGGACAAAUGUUUAUACAAGUUAUAGAUGGUAGAAGUCAAUUAAACGAAGUGUUUAGUAGACAAUAAGAGUUGUGUGAAACAUAUUUUUCAUGUUGUCUCGACAUUGGUGGUGUUUAUCAUUGAGAUACGGAACCCAUCUAGUGUAAGCUCUACAAGCAAUUACUAAUAUGUUUUUCUUGUCCAAAAUUCAGUACAGAAGUUUAUUACUUUUCUUUAGCAUAUGUUUGGUUUGAUGUUGAAAUUAUCAAUCUCGCAGAGGAAUUGGAGUUUUCCAAACCCAUACUUAGUCUGUGUAUCAAUAGUGAAACUUGAUUGGAUCUGCAUUGGGUAACUUCCAACCCAGAUCUUGAUUUGCUAGCCUUGACUGAUCUUUAACCCAAACUUGAAAUUAAAAAUAAUUCUCAAAAGGGAGGAUAAACAUGCGAUUUUGUCAAAAAUUUGGUGAUGAUGAGGUUUUCAAAUUUGGGAGGAGUAAGGUUCAUGUUUUUCAAUCUCACUUAUAUAUUUGAUUAGAUUUAUUACAAAGUGUCUGUUUAACAUGUAGUUCUCGAUGAUUUGAAUGUUUUGGAAUUAUGAUGGUUAUGAAUAGUUAUCUAGUCUUUGCUUUAUUGUUGUGUUGCUUUUAUAUUUUGUCAAUUUUAUUCUACAAAUUGCCAUGAAAAUUUGCAAUAUCUUGCUUUACUGGGAAGAGCUUCUAUAGCUAUCUGAAUGUCACUUUCAAUAUCUAAUAGCUAUUUGAAUGAUAGCAGCAGGUAUGGAGGAACAUUAUUAGUAGACAAUAAGAGCUGUGUAAAACAGAUUUUUCUUGCUGUUUCGACAUUGGUGGUGUUUAUCAUUGAGAGAUAUGGAACCCAUCUAGUGUAAGCUCUACAAGCAAUUACUAAUGUUUUUCUUGUCCAAAAUUCAGUACAGAAGUUUAUUGCUUUUAUUUAGCAUAUGUUUGGUUUGAUGUUGAAAUUAUCAUUCUCGCUGAGGAUCAAUAGUGAAACUUUAUUGGAUCUGCAUUGGGGGCACUCCCAACCCAGCUUAAUUGAUUUGCUAGCCUUGACUGAUCUUUAAGCCAAACUAGAAAUUAAAAUUAAUUCUCAAAAGGGAGGAUAAACAUGCGAUUAUGUCAAAAAUUUGGUAAGUUAGUUGAGACUUGGAAUAGAGAAAAAAAUGCAUGUACAGAACUGAAAUUAAGUUAAGUGAUGAAUUAUGUGAUUUUGUCAAUAUAUUUAAGUGAUUACUAUUGAUUUUGAUCUAUAGUAAGAAUUAAGAAACAUACAAUAUCUUUGGUGUACGAUCUAUAAUGUUCUUUGAGCCUGCUCUAACUCUUGUGAGUCUCAGUGUCCAACUUCUUUAAAACUUUUUAUUAUAAAAAUAAAAAACAUGACGGGUCAAUUUGAAGCCAAAUUAAUUCUUGUCACAAAGUUUCUAGUUUUGAUCUGUCUUCAACAUAACACAAUCUAGAGGUGGAAAAUUGUCAAUAUGGAUGAGAAAUUUGUAGAUAUAUAUGCUAUGUAUUCUUGCACGGAUAUAUAAAGAAAGAUAAUACUCUUAAUCGUGCACUUCAAAACCAUGACUGAAUUCGUAUUAGAUUUUGCUUCCUUAAUUAAAACCUGCAAGAAUUUGAUUAAGUCCAUAUGCAAUCUUUUUAUUCUUGGAGGAAAAACAAGAAUGCCAACAUGCAAUGCAAAUCGACAUCAUAUAAAAUUGCUAUUUGAAUUUUGACGUGUGGAAAUGUAUCAUACUGUUAAAUAUGACUUUUUGGUAAGCAAAAUUCAAUUGAUUUCUGUCUCAUAAAUUAAAUUAAAUUAAGCUGAUGUAAUGCUAGGUGGUAACCUAAAACCUAACCUAUAUAACGUUAGACUAAUGAAACCUGUCUCAAAAACGACAGAAAGAUAACAACAAAAUAUGAAAAAAAAUAUUUGUCCAACAUUUCAUACAAUUUUUUUUUUUGAAAAAGGCUAAAAUGGAAUUUAUUAAGAUAGCAAUGAAUCUUAACCAGUACAAGGAGUGUUAGGCUAUGAGAGUCUUACCGUAGCAACAAACAAAUGAUGAUGGGAAGCCCCCAAUGGAAAACCCAUACACCCGUGAAAAUAAAGAAAAAUCCAAAAACCUAUAGGAAACGUCUCCUAACAAAGGACUAUAUCUGGAAUCAAUAAAUAGAAACACCAAAACAAAGCUAACAUCACGAACAACGAAACAACAUAAACAAAAUCCUCAAACAUCGUCACAACUGCCACAAAAACAACUUCUACCACCCACAUUCCGCUGCUCGCACACAACCCUGAACACCAACAUGUCGUACAUGAUCAAUGCUCAUUGAUAAUAAAGAACUGAAUAUAUAAAGUGCAAAUUAGCUGUUAAUUUGGAUUGGAUUUGGUGACUGGCCUUCAAAUAAAUAAAUUAUUAAUUAGUUAAAUUGUACAUGUUGGUCACACAACUUUUAAUCACUUUUUUUUUUUCUCUAGCUAUACCUCUGUAUUUCUAUGUGUGUGUGGACAAUGUUACUUUUAGUUUAAGAACACUCACCAACUUAGGCAAUAUUAGUUGCAUCUUCUCUUGACUCUAAAGAACAUCUUUAAGAAACAUUGAAUUCGCAAAUGCAUGGAAAAGGUCAAGGUGCAACACUACACUUCACAUCACUUAUUAUAUAUUCACUUAUUCCUAUCUAUUUCCCCAACUCAACAUUCUUCUCAAGCUAACCUCUAAUAAUACACUAACAAUGGAUACUCCAUUUCUGUUCAAAUUUGUUUUUUUACAUAUUUUUCUUUUGUUUGGCUUUCUUGGUGACAAUAGAUUGUAUGCAAGUGAGCCUCAACUAACACUUGAUUACUAUGCAUCAACUUGUCCUACUGUGUUUGAUAUUGUCAGGAAGCAAAUGGAAUGUUCGGUGCUUUCUGAACCUCGUAACGCAGCCUCGGUUGUUCGGCUUCACUUCCAUGACUGCUUUAUUCAGGUCUCAAAAACUUGCCUUUUUUCCUUGUAAUUAUUGCUUCUGUUUUCAUGUUGGAAAGAAAAAAGAGUAAAUCCUCGACAUAUUUCCAUUUACCACACCGAUUCUACUAAAAUGUUAGUCAUCUUAAACAUCAUCUUCGGGUUUUACAAAAUGAAUAUCUAAGAACCAAUGUGGUGAUAAAAAUACCUUUAAUUGAGAGAUAAAUUUGGAGAUAAAAUAAAAAUUUCAAAAUACUAAUAUGGCUGUGAUUUUGAUUUUUGAAGGACUAAUUUAGUAAUCAAAAUGUUGAAUGAAACAAGUUAUGUCUGUGUAUACUUUGCAAUAUCAACUUAAGUUUUACUCCAAAAAUAGUAAAGCUACAUUACAUGUUCCAUUCAAAGUAUUAGAUGAACCUAUUGAGGAGAUAAAGAAAAUUCGUACUAAAGAAACUUGAUUUUAUGUGUUCAGGGUUGCGAUGGAUCGAUCUUGCUCGAUGAUACAUACACACUUAAAGGUGAAAAGAAAGCAGCUACCAACAUCCACUCUUUAAAAGGCUUUGAAAUUAUCGAUCAAAUCAAGAACUUUGUUGAAUCAGAGUGCCCUGGAGUUGUUUCUUGUGCCGAUAUUCUCACAAUUGCGGCUAGAGAUGCUGUGAUUCUGGUAAAACAAACAAUACAAUAUGUACAACAAAAUUCAAUCUUUAUCUUAUAUAAGUUAUUGGAUUUAUGAUAUCUCUUUGUCCUUUGAUUUCUUGUAGGUUGGUGGACCAUACUGGGAUGUUCCUGUGGGAAGGAAAGAUUCCGUGACUGCAAGUUUUGAACUUGCUAACACCAAUCUUCCAACACCUGAUGAAAGCCUUGUUUCUAUCAUUCCCAAAUUUCUUUAUCAAGGCCUAUCAGUCACGGAUAUGGUUUCCCUUGUCGGUAUGUUCUUAUGACUGAUUUACAACUUAGGACUCAGAGUACUUGCCGAAGAAGCUCAUAGUUCUUGUCUUAAUGAGUGAGACAGUGACCUGAUCGCUAUUAGUUCGAGAAAAAAAAAUGGAAAAAUGAAUGAGUCGUCAAAUCUGAACUCAUAUUCAUUUUCCUUUGUUUUUGUUUUUGUAGAACAAACAUCCAUCAGGUCACCGUCUCACAUAUGAAUGAGAACAAGGAUCACUGAGUUUCUAUUUUCAAGGAGCGGCAUUAUUCACCAUUGGUGUGUUUUGUGUAAUUUUAAAGCGUGAUUCAUCGUAAAACCCGCCUUCCUUGAUUUAUGAUCAUUCUAGCUAGCAUAUUAACUAGAGAGAAUAGACCUUACACAGAUUGUUUUGUACAAUUAGUACAACUCUCAGUUUUACCACAAUAAUCCUCAUCUCGGCUCAAAUGAAAUGUACAAAAUAACAAACCAAAUUGCAUUGCAUAAAUAAUAACAAUAUGAAUAUUUUGACCAUUUCUUCACAUUGCCUUGCAAUAAAAGUCAAUAACUGGUUUCCUCGUAAGAUUCCUAGGUAGUUGUAAAAGUAAUUUGUAAUAAACGUUGUUGCGUGCUAUAUAAAUUUCCUGAUCACAACACAUGCAGGAUCCCACACCAUUGGUAUGGCAAGGUGUCAAAAUUUUCGAUCAAGAAUAUAUGGAGACUAUGAAUCAACUUCAGUGAAAAAUCCAAUCUCAGAUAAUCAGUUCAACAACCUGAAAUCUAUUUGUCCACCAAUUGGGGGAGGAGACAAUAACAUAACGGCAAUGGACUAUGUGACGCCUAAUCUCUUCGACAAUUCUUUCUACCAGUUACUAUUAAAAGGCGAGGGAGUUCUUAACUCAGAUCAAGAAAUGUACUCGAGUGUGUUCGGAAUCGAAACAAGAGAGCUUGUCAAGAAGUAUGCAGCAGACUCUCUUGCUUUCUUCCAGCAAUUCUCUGAUUCCAUGGUCAAAAUGGGAAAUAUCACAAAUUCAGAAAGCUUCAUCACGGGAGAAGUUAGGAAGAACUGCAGAUUUGUUAACACAUAAAACUUUCAUUUUUUGGAUUAUGUAUUUUAUGUUUGUUUCGACACAUAUAGAACCAUUAAUUUUAUGUGUUUCAGUCACUUUCAGCCAUAGCUAGUUGAUACAAUGAUAUGUAACAAAUGAAGCAAGCAAUUAUAUAAUGAACAAAUGAAGUAAAAUCGACUGAUUUCCUUUUCAUACAAAGAAAGGUGUUGAGUUUGAGAAUGAAAGUUGAUGUAGCCAAUGUUAGAUUUCCUUGCAGAUCAAACUUUAAAAAUUCAGAUCUAAUACAUAAACUAGCUCAUGAUCUUGAUCUAACCAUAUUAACACUAUGGUAUGGUAUGCUAGAAUAAAAAAGGGUGAGAAAUUAUUAUACUAUAUGGGAGAAUGAUUUUUUAGAGGUGACGCAUAUGCAUAAUCAUAGCUUAAGAAUAAUGAGUCAAAUUUAAUUUAUGGGAAUAUCUUUGAGGUACCAUAUCAUCACAAUGCUAGAUCAGGAGUAACUCAAACUUACUUUACAAUAUAAAUAUAGAAGACAAAUAUAUAAUUGAUAGAAACACUUAUACAUUCAACCUUAACCUCAUACUUUCAAAUAUAUAAAAUCCAUAUAAACUUUAUUAAAUUAAAUCUAAAAAUAUUGCUAAUAAAUUUAUUAAACCUUAAUUAAAAGAAAACAACUAAAUGGCAAUAAUGUCAUUUAAUUAUCCUUAAAAUAAGGUAAUAAUAAAACUUCCCCAAAAGAAUGUGAGUAUAGUUAGACAAUUUCAUAAGAUGCACCCAAAUUUACUCUUAAUUGUAGGAAACUCAGUUGAUGGAAAGCAUGAAGGUCAGCCAAUUCCAUGAUCAAAGGUUAAAUUUUCAUGUAAAUCAUCAAAACAUGAUUUUGACUCUCUAAUUUCACGAAGAUCAUAAGAACAUUUCAUUAGAAUUUUGAAUAGAUGUGUGCUUCUACAAUUAGUUACCUAGACCUUGAAUAGAUGUGUGCUUCUACAAUUAGUUACCUAGGAUACUUGAUCUUAUAAGAACCUAUUCAAUUAAAAAUAUAAUAAGAGUAUUUUCACUUAUUACAAAGACACGAAUACUUGAUCAAAUUAAACCAACACCUAUGGAUAAAGAUUCUUACUUUCUCUUGUUCGACCGUUUAAGAUUUUUGGUGUUGAGAGUUUUGAGUUUUGAGUAAGAUCCUACCAAAUCCUCCUCCAUCUAUGGCAAUUAGUUGAGAAGGAAAAAUCUCUAAUAGUUAUAGCAACAACCACAUGUUGGCUUGGAAUAAAAAUGAAUAAAAAUAUAUUCAUUUUUUAUGCAUUUUUAAUAUGUUUUCUUCCACAUGUUUAGUGAACUCUUGAUCGCAUAACAAUGUUAAAUAUAUGAAGUGUCCUUUCAACAAAACUCUCUCUUUUACCAAAACCUGUGUAUUUGAAAUCAAAGAAAAAAUAUCCAUUAGAGAAUACGAAAAAUUAUAGAAAUAGAAACACACACAAACAAAGCUUAAAAAGAAAAUCAAAACUAUCAAAAAAUGAAAUGGAAGAAGAAAUGAAAAGGAUAACAUAAGCAACAUAUAUAAGCUUAGAAAAAAAUGAGGAGCUUUAUAGUAAUAAACUUGUGUGUGUAAGAGGAUUGAUUAAGAAUAUGAAUAAUUUUAAAAUUUAACCCCUCAAUAUUAAUAAAAUGGAUUAUAAUGCAUUCAUUGUGUAACUUGCAUGAAGUGAAGUAAAUGAAGUGUUUUUGCAGCCAAUGGAAAAUGAAAGAUAGAUAGUAAGGAAUGACUAAUAAAGAAUCAAGAACAAAAGAUAGCCACAUGACAUAAGUAUGAGAGAUUAGUUAGAAAGGGGGUAUUGGUAAGGUGACACAUAGGAAAAAUGUAGCUUAGAAUAUAUAUAUAUAUAUAUAUAAGGACUAAAACCAAAAAAAAAAAAAUUGCAUAGAUCAAACUCAAAAAAUUGUGUAACUGCAAGAACUAAUGACAUGUAUAAACCUAUUCAUUAUUAUUCACAUUUAAAAAUACUUGAAAAAGAUUUUUAAAUUUACGGGUUCCAUGUUGAUUGGAACAUACAUAAUUGAAUGAUAAAUUAUAAUAAUUUAUAAUAAGACAUAAGAAAAGUAAAUAUAAAAACUUCCCUAAAAAAAAAAGUAAAUAUAAAAACUAUGUGUCCUUCAAAAUAUAUAUAUAUAUAUAUAUAUAUAUAUAUAUAUAUAUGACAAAUUCUAUGGUACACCCAACAAUUUGAGUGUAUUGGUACACCAAAUCUUUAAAUUAAUAGUUAAAUGAGUUAUUUUUUAUAGGAAAAAAAUAUUUUCCAUCACCUAUAAUUAUAAUAACUAAAUCUUAUUUACCAAAAACGUCAACACAAUAAAAUUCGAUUUUUCUGAAUUCAUAUUACUCAUAAUAGAGAAUUUUGAUUAUUUUUUUACAAUAAAAUGUAGAAAAAUUUAAUAUGAUUUUUCUAAAAAAUGAAAUGAUGUUCUUUUUUAUAAAAUGAUAUUUUCUAAAAUAUAUAUGUCAACAAACACCAAUUUUCUUUCAUAAAAAAUGAUAGUUAACUUAUAAAAAUUGUAAGCGAGAGUACCGGUACACCUUAAUUUACGGAUACACCGUAGAAAUUCCAUAUAUAUAUAUAUAUAUAUAUAUAUAUAUAUGAUGUUUUAAUGAAACUAGACUUGUUGAAGUGAUUAUCAACGUGUCAUAACCCAUGUGCAAUGUUGCUUUAACUUUAUUAGCUGUGUACUUUGGUAUAUGGUCAUCAACAGUAACAUAACAUUUUAUUUUUGAAUUUGAGACCGUCAAUGAUAUUACUCCGUUUCUUUUUAUCUGUUAUUUUUUUAUAUUUUACACAAACUAAGACACUUAAUAAAUAUUACUUUUUCUUAUACAAUAAUUUAUAUUUUUACUAUAAUAUCCUUAUUCAUUUAAUAUUUUAUUUCAUAUAUUUCUUUCUCCGUAAUAAAUAAUUAAGGGUAAUGUUGGUAAAACAACAUUUAUUGUUGCAUUGAACUUUGAAAGUGACAGUUAAAUAGGAACAAAAAAUUUCUCCAAAAGAGACAUUUAAAAAGGAACGGAGGGAGUAAUAGAUGAGUACGACAUCAGAGAGGUAGAAGUGAACCUACCUAUGAUUUUAUGAUUUUUUUUAGAUAGACAAAAUGACAAAACCAUUAUAAACUCAUACAUAAGGGUGGACAAAAAUUCAAAGUCCAACCCAAACCGGUAUAACCAGCUGUAUAAACGGACGGGGUUUAAACGGGUUGUCGGGUCUACGGAUUGCCAAUUUCGGUUUUCUGUGAGUAUAUAUGGACGGGCUCGGAUGUCCAAAAUGGAACCAAGGGAAACCGAAACCCGCCCGAUUAGCUACCCACCCAUGUCUCACUUUUCAUUCAAUUACUCAGGGAUGGAUGUGACGAAACUCACAAUCUGUCAGAUACCCCAUCUUAUUAAAUAAUGCAAUAAAUUUACUUUUAUUAUUACUAUCACAACAACUUAGUACAAGUUAUUAUUACCAUCACAACCACUCAGUACAACAACAAAUUGUAUUUUAUUUUUCUUUUUGCUGAUAUUGCUGUAUGGAAAAGAGAGAGAACAGGGCUAUACUAAUAUUUAUCAACGCUACUAUCAUCCAUCACCUUGAGAUAUUAACUUUCUUUUUCCUCUCUCAAGACACCUUCCUACGUCCCACCACCUCUCUCUAUUUUCUCUUCACAAUUGUUGUGGUCAAUUUCUUUUGUUAUUGUCAUUAGAUCUACAAGUUUUGAACAAAAUAGUUGUUCACCUAUAUGGAUUUAACAAUCUAUCUUCAUCUUCUGUGUUAUUAUUUCUGUGUAUUUUGCUUUUGAUGUUAUUUUAGUUAUUUGUAGGAGGUCAGUAACUUCUUUUCAUUAUUUAUAAUACAAGUAAAAAUAAUUACUUGUACUGUAAUGAGUAAUAUAAUAAUUUGAUAAAAAUUAAAGAAAAAAAAAUACACAUUUUCUAUUGUAAAGUUCACCAUAAAACAAUACAUUUUCAUCUCAUUCUUCUUUUUUCCUCUAUCUCUAAUUUAAGUCAUGACAAAAGUAGGAGUUAGUGUUGGUCUGAAGUAUGGCCGUGUAAAUGAAACUAAUGAUGUUAAUUACCUUAGAGUGCUUGUAAAUUCAGCCGUUUGAGUCAAGGACUUGUUGAUAAAGUGUUUUGGGUUUAAGUCUGAGGAUAUAAUCCUUCUCAUAGAUGAAUAUCCGUCGAUGGCUUCUCCUUCAAAAAAUUAUUUUGAAAUAAAAUCAAGUGUUGUCACCCACGCAACCCUUUUGACAUUGUUGCUGGAUUUGUUUAAGAACCUUAAAGCGGGUGAUACCUUGUUUUUUUACUUUGCUGGACAUGGAUUUAGGUCAAAGAGUAAGCCAAAAUACGAUAACGACACUAGUUAUGUAGAAGCCAUAUGUUUGAACCUUAACUCUAAUAUUUUUGGUAAUAUGUUUUCUCUUUGAUUGUAUUCGCUCUCUUUCUCCAUAUAAAAUCUCUGAUGUGUUUGGUGGCUAUCUGUUACUUGUGUUAUGCAGAUUAUGACUUUAGAGAACUUGCGAAGCAUGUUCCUGAAGGAUGUUAAUUUGUUAUGAUGGUGGACAACUGCAAUUCUGCUGGGUUACUUGAUGGUUUGACUGAAGUUAUCGACGAUAGUCAUCAGUCUGCAAACGUCGUUAAGAACAAAACUCAACAAUCAAAUUUUUUUAAGGGAGCUAAAAUGGAUAAAGAGCCUUCAGGUGUGUUGGUAAGCUCUUGUCAAUCUUAUGAGAGUUCUGUUGGAGAGCUUAUUAGUAGUAUAUCAAAAUUGAGGAGGUGUAUUUGGAUCUUCCAUACAUACCUCCACUAUUUUAAAAACUUCUUCUUCUUCCAUUUUUUAACGUCACCAGAAUUGAGGAGGUGACGCUAAAAAAUGGAAGAAGAAGUUUUUAAAAUAGUAGAGGUCUGUAUGGAGUAUCCAAAUACAACUUCUCAAUUUCGAUCUACUACUAUAAACCUUCCAACAGAACUCUCAUAAGAUUGACAAGAGCUUACCAACACAUCUGAAGGCUCUUUAUCCAUUUUAAAUCCUUUAAAAAAAUCUGAUUGCUGACGUUUGUUUUUAACGACGUUUGCAGACUGAUGACUAUCGCCGAUAACUUCAGUCGAACCAUCAAGUAACCCAGCAGAAUUGCAGUUGUCCAUCAUCAUAACAAAUUGACAUCCUUCAGGAACAUGCUUCGCAAGUUCUCUAAAGUCAUAAUCUGCAUAACACAAGUAACAGAUAGCCACCAAACACAUCAGAGAUUGUAUAUGGAGAAAGAGAGCGAAAACAAUUAAAGAGAAAACAUAUUACCAAAAAUAUUAGAGUUAAGGUUCAAACAUAUGGCUUCUACGUAACUAGUAUCGUUAUCGUAUUUUGGCUUACUCUUUGACCUAAAUCCAUGUCCAGCAAAGUAAAAAAACAAGGUAUCCCCCGCUUUAAGGUUCUUAAACAAAUCCAGCAACAAUGUCAAAAGGGUUGCGUGGGUGACAACACUUGUUUUAUUUCAAAAUUAUUUUUUGGAGGACAAACCAUCGACGGAUAUUCAUCUAUGAGAAGGGUUAUGUCCUCAGGCUUAAACCAAAAAUGCUUUAUCAACAAGUCCUUGACUAGAAAAGCGGAAUUGAUAGAUCCUCUAAGGUAAUUAAGAUCAUUGGUUUCAUUUACACGGUUAUAUUUUAAACCAACACUAACUCUACUUUUGCUAUGACUUAAAUUGGAGAUAGAGGAAAAAAGAAUGAAGAGAUGAGAGUGUAUUGUUUUAUGGUGAACUUUGCAAUAGAAAAUGUGUGUAUGUUAUAUAGACUAGGGGUGGCGAUGGACAGAAACUCACAAUCCGUUUGAACCGACGGUUGCAAUAUCCAAGCCCACUCCCGUCCGUUCAUGGAAUCGGUUUCCUCGGAUGGCGGUUUAGACGGAUUACGGUUUCUUCGGUUGGUUUAUCUCGGGUCCUUAUUGAUCAUCGUCUCCAUUAUCGACCAAAACUCAUAAAAAAAAAAACAGAAUCAGAUACUAGAAAUAGAGAGGAGCUUCUGGUUAAGAUCAAAGAAUGCGGUCUACGGUCACCGGUGCCACUCAGCAUGUCCCCUACACUCCGGCUGACAGGGUAAAGAAACUCUAAUAAUAAUUAAAGAUGAAGAGAGGGUUUUGAGUCUAGAGAGGUGAGAGUCAAUUAUUAAGUUGUAGAUCUACGUUGUUAACUCAUUAUGGUGUCUCUCAAACCUCCAGCACAAGGCCAACAUAUUGUGAUAUCUAACCUUCGUGAAUCAGUCUGGGUAAAUAACAAAAUAGAGAGUAAAGAGCAUAUGAAAGAUUGAGAGAAGUAUUUGGGAUUUUUGUUCUUGAGAAGAAGAUAUGUGUCGUGAGAGAAAUAUGGGGAGAGCGUAGGUAAGGUUUUGGGAAAGUACUGUCACUACUUUCUACACACAAAAAAUAACAAAUAAAUACAAAAAUAAAAUAUAGGUCACAAAAAUGAGUUUAUUCUUAAUUCAAUUAAAAAAAGUAGACUUAAAAAAACAGUGUAUGUGGCUCUGUACAACAAUAAAGUAAGCUAUCUGCUAUGAAUAUAGUAAAAUAUAGGUGAAAAACUAAAAAGUAGUCUGAUACUCGAAAAAGUCUUAGUUGAUCACAAACACAGAUAAAUAGUACUUAGGCGCACACACAUGGAAGAGAAAAAUUAAAAGAUAAAAGUAAAAAAUGAUGUGAUUAAUUUAUUUCUCUAUUAAAUUUUUUUAAUUAUGAGUGUGUGCCCAAAUGUUUUUCAUUUGGGUUUGUGUGUAUAGAAGAGUUGCUCCUGAUACUCUUUGUGAUUGAUAUAUAGGAUUGGAAGCUGCUACUAGUAUAAUACUCCUUCCGAUCCUAUUUACAAGAUAAAGUUAACUUUUUAGAUACAUUGAAUAAUGUAUAUAUUUAGUCAAGAACCUAAACCAAAUACAUAAAUUAUUUAAUGUAUAUAAAAAGUUAAUUGUUUCUUGUAAAUAGGACCGGAGGGAGUAUAACUCUCGAUCGGUUAACGGAUUUCGAUGAGUUAAAUUUCGUCCAAUUCUAUCUGCAGUAGACCAAAAACAUAAACCUGUAGGCCCGAAAACCCGAAAUGGGCCGCCCGCAGCAUUUAUUUAUUUAUCGGGUACAUCGAUUUCGGGCGGUUGUCGGAUUUUUGUCCAGCCCUAAUAUAGACGUGUUUAGAAAAUGUGUAUUUUUUUUCUUUAGUUUUUAUCAAAUUAUUAUAUUACUACAAGUAAUUAUUUUUACUUGUAUUAUAAAUAAUGAAAAGAAGUUGCUGACCUCCCACAAAUAUAACCAAUUUCUGAUACAAUUAAAAUUCAUAGGUAGGUUUAUAAUGAUUGUUAGAUCGGACGCCCAUGACUGAGGUUCGAAUCCUAAUACUUCCAUUUAUAUGUGUAAGUUUAUAAUGAUUUUACCGUUUCAACUAUCUAUAAAAAAAAAAAAAAUCAUAGGUAGGUUCACUGCUACGUACCUCUGUGAUGCCGUACUCAUCUAUUAUCAUUGACGGUCUCAAAUUCAACAAGUAAAAUGUUCUGUUACUAUUGAUGACCGGUGGCAUUUUACAUUAAAUUUCAAUAUAAACAUAUAUGUAUAAGAUGAUGCUCCGUUGCAAAAUACAAUGGAAUCCUUUCCCAUCAUAGGAAAAGUGACUUUUGUACCAUUGAUUUAAUAAUAAAAUAAUUGAAUGGUUGAGAUGUAUUACUUGCUACCCUUUGAAAACUUUUUGUUUUUACAAAAUCACAAAAAUGCGGACCCCACACGUAAAUAGAAUGUUGUCUAUUUGUUUGGGCUGAUUUUUUUUAUUGAAUGGGCAUGUUGUUUAUAGGUUUACGUCAACCCGAAAAUAAGCCGCAUUUAGCGAAUAACUUACAAGCUCGUAUGUUUAAAAAGGCUCCGUUUGAUAAACGUUAUUUCAUCACGAAUUUUUAAUAUUGAUAAAAAAUAAAAUUAAAACUCUUGUUUUAGAAAACAACAUUCAGUUUUUUUUUUGCUCAAAAAAAGAAAAAGAAAACAACAUUCAGUGGAUAAUAUUGUUGUACAAUUUAUACACAGAACAACAGUCAAUCGCUAAUUAGUUAAUUAAAUUUAUUUUCUUACACAUCUUCAAAAUAAUAAUAAGAUAAUUUAUGACACAAUAAUUUGACGCAUAAGUCGCGCUUUAACGUAUAAUUCGUAUGGACCACGGUCUGUUGUUAAUUUUUUUAUUAAACACUUAAUCCUAAAACUAAACGGAAAAAAAAGCAAAAAGAAAAACCAAAAAAAAAUAUUAAAAAUGGUUGUUCCCUAAAGCCUAUGUAAAACACUAAAAAAAUGGCUUGUUCGCCAAAACGAAAAUAAAACAACAAAAAAAAAAUUGAAAACAAAUGCCUGUUCUCCAAAGCAUGCAUAGAACAAGGCAUUUGCAAUUUUUCCAAAAAAAAAAAAAAAAAAAGACAUUUGCAUUAUUAAAUAUCAACAAGGGUAUAGUUAUCAAUAAUUUUAGUCUGUGAUGCAGAAAAGAAAAAAUUUCGUCAAGAACUGAGAUACAUAAGGUGGUGGUGUACAAAGUAAUGUUUUCUAAAAGAGGAGGUGCAAAUCAAAUUUAAAUAUAAUAUAGCAUUCAAUUAUGUUUGUUCAAACCAAAAAAUCAAAUAAAAUAUGUAGCAACUUGUUGCAUUGUCAUAUGUAGGUAAAAAGUGACCUUUCCUAUGGUGGGAAAAGAUUCACCUUUCCCAUGGUAACCUUCACCUGGUAGUUAAGUUAAAAACUUAGAAGAGUUAAAAAGUAUGCCGGUAGAAAAUCUGAUACUCUCCUCUAAUAUAUAGAUCCACACCUAUAUAUAUGAAUUGUGAUGACUCGGCAUAUUUAGUUAAGAUUCAUCACCUCAUUCUCAUUUGAAACCUCCCUCUUCUUCAUCUCUCAAAAAUAUCUCCAAUUUACAUUCAGGAUUGAAAGAAAAUCAACCAGUGGAAACUGCCAGUUCCUGGGAGAGAAUCAAAUAUCCUGGGCCAGCAAAAGACAAGCAACUAUUGCUAUGUCUAAAGCAGAAGCAGAAUACAUAUCAGCUGCAAGUUGUUGAACACAACUACUUUGGAUGAAACAUCAGUUGGAAGACUAUCAGAUAAAUGCUAACAGUAUUCCCAUUUAUUGUGAUAAUAUUGCUGCUAUUUGUUUGUCAAAGAAUCCAAUUCUGCAUUCAAAAGCCAAACAUAUUGAAAUCAAACACCACUUUAUUAGAGACUAUGUUCAAAAAGGAAUUUUAGAUAUACAAUUCAUUGAUAUCGAACAUCAAUGGGCUGAUAUAUUUACUAAGCCUUUAACUCUGGAAAGAUUUGAAUUUAUAAAGAAAAAUUUGAACAUGCACCUUGUGUCUGAUUGAAUUUGCUUGCUCCUGAACUAGAAGUUUGGUUCUGAAGUCUUCUCAGAAGCUAUGGUCCAUCAGAAGCUUUUAACUGAGAUUCUGAGGAAAAUGGGCUUCUGAAGAUGAUGUCAGCACUUUAACUUCAGAAGCUGAAUUCUUUGCUCCUGAAUAGCAGGAUUAGUGGAAACGUUGGAAGUUACCCUUCAAGUAACACCUGUCCCACUAACUUAGCAGUUACUCUGAAACGCUUCUGACGUGGUUUAUUUGUAUUGGUGUAUGACUUAAGAGGGCAAUGAUGAUUUUUUAGCUUUGAAAGUACUAUCUCGCGCCCCCAAUUGUCAUUAAUGUUGUGUUUGUUUGUCCCCUUCUGAAUUGCAAUCGUUUUUACUCAAAACACUUAGACAAAACACACACUACUCACUUUAAAACCUACACUUUCAUCGUUUCAAACUAUUCUCUGCGAAGUAAGCGCAUUCCUCUUCACUCAAAUCCUUAGAACCUUAAAAAUUCAUCUUCAUCAUGGAAACUUCAAGCUCUGUUUCCAGAAUCAUCCAACAUGCAAGAAGCUGUUCCUGCUUACGAAAUCAAAGGAAGAACAAUGUCUUUGGAGGAAUGGGAUUUGAAGAUUCAAACGGAAAAUCCGGUUGAUUUGACAUCUCUUGCAUUUCAUGGCUGUGACAUAAGAAGAUUCUAUGAAGCACAAGGCCUAAUGGAUUACUUCAAUAUGUUGAAUGGACCAACAUAUCAAACACUGGUAAGGCACUUCUUGGUUAGAGCAAGUGUCUACAACAAAGAAACUGCUAAGCUUGAAGAAACAGAAAAGAUACUCAUUAACCCUACGCUGGAGGGAAAAUCUCGUGAAGAAAUGGGUCUAGAACCAUUUGUCUGCACUGAGAUAAGAUCAAGCAUCAUGGGAAUUCCAGUGCAUAUCUCAGAAGACAUAAUAGCCUUUGUCAUCAGAAGGGCUGCUGAAGGUAUAGGCAAUAGUAAGACCAGUCAAUGGAAUGAGGUGGUCAAUCAAUCCAUGUUCAACAGCUAAGACAAGGGUAUGUAUGCUGACUUGAGCAUGGAGAAGAAGAUGCUCCUGAAAAUCCAAAAUGAAAACCUGCUACCAAAAGGUGGUGGCAGUGAUCAACCUUCAUAGGAGCAUAUGAUCCUUCUACACUUCUUCAUAACUGGAGAAAAAGCUAAUGUGCCCAGAUACAUCUUCAGGCACAUGAUCCAGCAACUCAAGGAAAGUCAAGAUAAGAAGAGAUGUUGGGUUCCUUAUGGAAGGCUAAUCUCAUAAAUUUUUCAUCAAGGAUGGAUUCUGAGAUCUCUCAGCAAAGUAAACUUCUUUACUGAUGAGCAGCUAGGCACAGAGACUGGGAAGAUCAUUAAUUGAAGUACUCUAAAGCACAUAAAGCUGAUUAAUUGAAGGAAUCUUUUGCCAUAUCAAAUCUGAUGGAAGACUUUCCCCCCAUCUGCAAACAAGAUCCACUUGAUGUCCAGAUGAACUGGAUCAAGGAUCAUUUUGCAUCAACAGGCACAAAGAUUAAUUUGGAAGAUGUGCAUGAAACAAUGUAUGGUGGAGCUCUUCCAGUUGCUAAGAGCAGGAAAACUAAGAGAAAAUCUAUCAACAAGGAUGAUUACUUAGAAGAUGCUUCUAAAAAAUCUUCCAAGAAGGCAAAGAAAGAAAAGUCCUCUUCUGGUGUACCAACGAUUCAGGAAGAAGCUAAGGAGCUGAAUGUUGAUGCAAUUCUGAAAAAGAAAACCAGAAGUGACAAAGCUUCUAUUUCUUCUCAAACUGUUUCUGAUCAACCUUCUAUUCCUAAGAAGAAGAGAAAGCAGGCUAUCAUGAAGUUAAAGAUGGCAGCGGAUGUUGCUGAAGAAGAAGAAAUUGAAGUUGCUACUAAUCUUGUCACCAGAGAGGUAAGGCAGAAGAAAGCUGAAGAUGCUACUACACUUCAGAAAGCCUUGGAGUUAGCAAAGAAGAUUGAAAUCACUGCAUCCAACAUAGUAAGGGAAGAUGCUGGUGCAGAUGCUCAAGAGGUGAUUAAGGCUGCUGGAGAGGUGCAAUAGCUUGUGGUAACUGAAGCUGGAAGCUUGUUGGAGCUUGCUGAAGCAGUUCAGAAGGAACAUGUUGAUGUGUAACGCAAAUAAGGCAUAUAUUCAAGAAAUAGACGCUACGUCAUCAUACAAAAUCCAAAACAACAUGCAUGUAUAAAAAUCUCAACAGCCGCAGCGGAUAUAUAAACCAUAUACUUCAAACAUACAUGCCAUGAUAUCAAAAAUACAUUAACAUAAAUGUUCUCCAAGUCCCGACAAAUGGGUAAACCUUCAACAUGAAUAAAUCCAAACAGAUAAUCUAGACCAACAUAGACAGACGCCUGGAUUAGAGCCUAUCCUAGACCCGACUAAACCGAUACCGGAGAUAGCUCCCGAUAUCCGACCAAGCAUCAAUCAACUCACCGGAGUAACUAAUCCUGCACAGCGUCUACCCAUCCAUACAGACAUGUAGGCGGUCAAAACCACUGGGGUAAGUAUUACAUCAAUCAUAAUCAACAUAAACAGUUAGACAUGAACAAAUCAAUUCAUGUAACAUUUCAUUAAUCAAGAAUAAUUAAUUUCCAUAUACACAUUCAUUCAAAAAUUCCAAAUCUUACAACAUGUAUUUAUCAAACACACUUAUCAUCAACAAUCAUCAUUAAUAUGCCACAAAUAAGACUCAUGUCAACAUGAAAUGCGCCUAGUUCGACACAUAUAUGCAUGUGGUACCAAAUCACCUCAAGGUCGUCACCUUCGAUGCAACAAAAACAUCGUAUGUAAAAUUUCACACCCGUCUUACAUAAUCACCGAAGUAAAAGAGUUCAACUCUUUUACAGCUACAAGACUCAACAUGAUUAUGAUGCAUGGACAUACAAGUAAGGACUCAACAAUGCAGAUCACCUCAAAAUUUUCACAACAAUAUAAAGGACAACUUCCAAAUAUAUUGAUCAUCUCCUCAACAAUUGCAUUAUCAAGUAAUUACGUCCACACAACAUUCGAGUCAUAUUUCAAAUAAGAGUCAUCAUCACAUUAUCACAUAAUCAUCAAUAAUCAUCAACAUCAACUAUUUCAUAUAGUCUCACCAUUCCAUUUAUUUCUCAUAUUCCAAGUAAGAGAACAUACAACAUCUUAUGAUAAAUAUCAUAUCAACAUACAACAAGUCAUUCACACAUCUUCAUUUAUUCAUAUAAGGCUAGUCACGAAAGAUCAUAAGAUUAAUUAGUUGACUUAAAUGAACCAAUUCCGGUAAAGUCCGUGUCAAGUUGCAAACGGCCCUCAUUGACAAUUUCCAAAACAAGGUAACAAUAUAAAGUUUGAAAAUCCUCAAGAGAGUCUUAAUCAAUCAUGUGAUCAUGAACGUAAGCCACUUACAAACUAUUAGACAUUAGUUCAAAGAAUAACUUAAGUUCACAUAAGAAAACCCAAGUUCACAUUUCCCAUAUUCCCACCCGAAAUAUCAAGUUUACCAUGAUUAAGAUGCUUGACCAACUCUACAAUUUCCACCUAAGUAUAUAUAAGCUGUAGGCUUAACUUGUAAUCUCAUUCAACUCAUAAAGGUUCAAUUCGACAAAAUUCGAAAUUCCCAAAAAUAUCCAAGUUUCAACCCAAAAUGGAAAAUCCCAAAUUUGAAUGAGCUAAACAUGUUCCAGUAUGUUUAGGGGUUCAAACAGUAGUUAAACAAGUUGAAAGAAUCAUUUUACAAAGCUCGGAUUGGCCCCCUAAAGCCCGGAACAAAAAUCAAAAGUGGCUGAAUCUGGGCAGGUUCGCUUAAGCGACCAUCUGGUUCGCUUAAGCGAACAAGUUUCAGUAGCUACUUGUAAUGUACGCUUACUGAUCGCUUACUAUUCGCUUACCUGUUCGCUAAAGCGAACAAGUUCCAGUAGCUAUCAGUAGUGUACGCUUAUAGGUUCGCUUAAGCAACCUAUUUCCAGAACUUGCUAUGAUGGUUUGCUUAAGCGUUCGCUUAAGCGAACAGUCAUAGUUCUGCAGAAAAAUAUUACGGGUUUCAACUCCUUUUCACCCAAAACCCCCAAUUUUGAUCUCCCAAUGCCCAAAUGUGUUUUCAGAGUUUGUUUGCAGGUCAAUAUAACUAACAAGGCUCAACAAACAUGAAAACAAAUAACAUUUGAACAUAAUUCACCAAUUCAACCCAUUUUACAAAACCAACCACAACAGCUCACUUCUCAUCAUCAAAUCAUGAAUUAUGAACACCCAAGCCAUGAAUCAACAACAACAAUAUCACUUAGCAACAACAACAUCAAUUGAACAUGAAUCUCAUCACAAUUCAACAACAACAUAGAACAAUUCAACAUUUAGAGCAUAGUUCAACAUAUAACACUUUCAUAUACUUGGAACAUGCAAUUUCACUAACAACAAUCCAAUUAUCACCAAUUUCAUGCAUUCAAACAUAUCAUCAUAAUUAGAGCACGAAUUCUAACAACUAAUGAACAAUUAAUCCCUUACUCAAUUAAGCACUUAAUCAUACAAUAAUUGAAAAAUUACACUAAAUGAUUAUGAUUGAAUUCUAACCCCCUUACCUUAAUUAGCACAAUUCCUAGCCCAACCUUCACUUUAGCUCCUAGGAUCUCUACCACUUCUUGAAUCUUCAAGCUUCUUCUUCUCUAACCCUUUUUCCUCUUCUCUUACAUUUUCUCUUUCUACCUCUCUCAAAAUAUCUUAUGUAAUGAAAAAUGAGUGAUAUUUUCUCUCUUAAGACAAGUCUUAUAUAGGCUAUUCUCCUAAUGGGCUUAAUGUAACGCCCUAAUGAAUUAUUUAAUUAUUUUAUUGGGUUUAGAGUCUAUUUAUAUGAUUUAUGUGAUUUAAAUGGUUAUGUGGUGUGUCGUUGUUUUAUUAAGUGGCUUUAUUUUAUUAUUUUAUGCAAUAAACUUUGAAAAUAAAAUAAAAUUAAUUUGAGGGGGCUGUUUUUGAAUUUAGAAGAGUUUAGUGGAAUAAGUGGAAAUAAGAUAAAGUAGGUUGAGGAAAUAAAUAGGAAAAACUAGGGUCAGAUAGUUUUUCACGUGAAACCUUUUUUUGAAGAAAAAAGGAGAAAACCAAGAGAAGAGGAGAACCAGAGAAGAGAACCUUUCGAUCGAUAAAUCUAAGGUAAGGGUGGGACUAACUUUCUCUAAUUCUAAGUGAUAUAACUCUAAAAAUUGAAUUUAACAAGUUGUAGGUUGUAGUUUUGGGAAUUUGAGAAUUAGGGUUAGAAGUUGAAAUUGAUUAAUUUGAGAGUAGGAAUAUGUUGAAUUGAUGUAGAUAGUGUCCAAACCUUAGAUUAUUCAUAGCACAAUGAUUAGAAUCAAUUUUAAGGUUAGAGUUAUGGAAUUAGGUGAGUUUUGUGAAAUCUGCAUUCUGCCCGUAGAGCCAACAUUCAUCGCUCGCUAUAGCGAGUAGCUGUUCUCGCCUCGCGAGUGAUCAUAUUCAUCGCUCGCCAUAGCGAGUAAUUUCUCUCGCCUCACGAGUAAACCCAGUUGUCACUCGCCAUUGCGAGUAAAUCUCUCGCCAUAGCGAGCUACCUAGUGAGAAAAUUAUGAUUUUGUGGAUUAAUGUUCGGGGUCAAGUUUUAUACGGUUUUAGUGCCUUAACAUGUUUAGAAAUGAUUAGGCAAGUCUUUGGAUCAAAUUUGGGCAUAGGGAAGUUAAAAAUAGGAUUUUUGAGUGAAAAAUGUCAAAACUCCCAAGAGCCAUCAAUUUUAGCUCGCCACGGCGAGUACCUUGUUCACCAUAGCGAGUAGCCUUUUGUUGAACUCGCCAUAGCGAGUAGAGUGGCUCGCCUCGCGAGUUACUCAGUGGAAUUCAACUUUGUUUAGGGUUCUUGCGAUCUUUUUCGCACGUAACGUUCUAAGUUGGUCUUUGGGUAGGAAUGGAAGUUGUUUAUAAUUAUGUUGUUGUUCAGUGAGUCUGAAUUAUUAUGAAUAUUCUUGUUGGAUAAUUUGAGAUAAAUAUAUUAUGUGAAUAUUGUAUGAUAUAGAAAUAUUGUUGUUCAUAUCAUUCAAGUUAUUGUUGUUGAUGUUGUUAUGUUACAAGUUGCUAUUGUUGCUGUCAAUGCUGUUGUUGAUUGAUAAAUAUCGCUAAGGUGCAAGUUUGUUGUAUUAAGAUGUUGAAGUCGUCUAAGUUGUCAAAGCGGUCUAAGUUGUUUAAGUUGUUGGUUGUUGAGUCCAUGCAUACUCAUUAAAGUUGAGGGUUUGAUGGACUUUAUGCCAUGUGAGCCUAUUUGCUCUAUAAGUUGAGGACUUAUGCCCUGUGAGCCUAUUUGCUCUAUAAGUUGGGGGUUUGAUGCCCUGUGAGUAUAUUUAUACUCUAUAUGUUGGGGGCUUGAUGCCCAGGUUGGUACCACACGCAUGAUUAAGUUGUUGUAGUUGCAUCGUCGAGAUGACGUCGUUGUUGUUGCAUUGUUGAGUUGAUGUCGUUGUUGUCGCAUUGUCGUUGUUGUUAAGUUGUCAAUUAUCAAUGAGUUGUUAAUGAAGAACUAUACGAAGAAUUAAUAUUAUUAAUUGAUAUUGUCUAUGUUGUUAAAUCCUAUUGAUGAAUUAUAUGCUUAUUAUUAUUGAAUGUGAAAUCUCACCCCUUCUGUUUGAAUGUUGCCUCUACGUGGGUAACGUGAAGAUAAUCAGGAAUAGCUGUUGAAGUGAGUUAACUCUCUCAUGCGUCGUCUUAGGGUCGCUCUGAUACGUAACGGGAUGGGGAUCUUACUUGUUUUCCAUGUGUUACGUAAUUGCUAUGAUUUUAUGUUGAUGAAUCACUUAGAUUGAAUUCUAAUAAGUUGUUUAUGUUGAGGCCGUUGUGCCAUUACGUUGUUCAAUUAAUGUUUUCCGCUGCAAUGAGAUUUGAAUUGAUGACAUGAGAUGUUUUGAAUAAAUAGUAAUUUUACUCUAUUUAUCUGAUGACAUCCUGUUUUAGUUGUUUACUCUGAUGUUUAUGCAAAAAAUUUCAAGUUGGGAAAAUGGGGUGUUACAAUUGGUAUUAGAGCAGGUUGGUUGGUCCGGCCAAGUAGUUGAGUCGUGUAGUGUUGAGUAGCAGUUGAAAUACUGUCAUUAUGUUGUCCUGAUUGUUGUUUGUUGUGUAGAGAACUAAGAUGGCUGGAAGAAAUGACGCUGCUAUUGCUGCUGCAUUGGAAGUUGUGGCUCAAGCUGUGGGUGGUGUAACACCCCUAUUUUUAUCUCACUUUAUAGGGCGCGUCCCAUAUAAUUAUAAGCGCAAAAAUGUAAAUAAAUAUAAUUCGGCCGCGCCAAAGUAGGGCGUGCAAAAUAAUAAUAUUAUUUCCAUCCUGGUCUUAAUUAUUAUUAUUUUCCCUUUUCUCAACAACCUUUUUUUUUUUUUUUUUUAUCGUAUGUUUCUUUUAAAGGAACUUCUACACAACAAAAUUUUUGAAACAUAAUUAAUACACAUUUAAGUCAUAAUAUAUAUAUAUAUAUAUAUAUAUAUAUAUAUAUAUAUAUAUAUAUAUAUAUCAUUCGGUCUAAGCCUGCGGCUCAUAAUGCUAAAGUCAUCUUAGUGAAUAUUUUACAAUGAUCCAUAAUUAUUCAUGAGACUUAUUAACAAAAUAUAAAUGCCAUCUAGCUAGAGUCAUAAUGCAUCAAUCAUACAACGUCAUCCUACUAUGUCACCAACCCUAGCUACCAUCCAAAAUAUAGAGUUUUAAGAGACAUUAAGUACACAACAAACUAGUUAGCACUCUUAAACUCUUUCUUGCACACAGAAUGUCAUAUCAAAAUAUUUCCAUUAGGGUCUCCCCCAAUGAACUCUCCCUCCUCAAGGUACUCCUCUGGGUCCUCCUCCGGGUCCUCCUCUGGAUCCUCCUCCUCAUGUGCAUGGCCACCUCUUACUCCCUUAUCAGCAACAUCAGCAGGAUCACCAAUAGGGGGAACAAAGGGCUCCUGUCGGUCUGGCACUACGGGUGGGACAACACCCAUGUCAUGGAGAGCUAGGUACAACCUCUGAAAUGGUAGAAUCAUCUCUGUGGUUUCAUGAGUAACAAUAGUCGUAGUAGGCUGGCCACCGAAUCAUGUGGUAGUGCGAACAAGUCCGGUAAAAUUCAAUGUUUGGGUGGCCAGAUUUAUUUCCCAAACAUCGCGUCUCGGAUCCUCAAGGAACUCGAUCCUGCGGGUUUCCGAGUGAGCUAAAUGUUUUCCUGGCAUCAUCUACAAAAUGUCCGAACAUACCCAAAAAAAAAACAACAAGAUACAAAAAAAACAAAGAAGGGUGAAUUACUCGUACACAAGUUUUCCACGUGAUAUAUUACAUAAGGAAAAAGAAAAUAAUAUAUAUACAGCAAGGUAAAGUGAUAUUUCCAUAGAUAUAAUAUUUUCUUUUCAUUCACUGUCCAACAACAAUUACAAAGCAUGAAAAAAAAACUAUCUUUUAAGAGGUCAAAUUAGAAUUAAUAGUUUGACAUUCAACAUAACACAUGCAUGAACUCUUUUGACCCUUUUUCUCGACUCUAGUUCAUUUUCUUCUCAUAAUUCACUACUCCAUGGAGGUUCCACUCUAAUAAGCAUAAGGUCGUUUCGGAAACUAUAUCAUGAUUAUUAGUAUUUUGAGCAAGAUAUGCUUAAACUCUAAUCAUUCUAGUCCGAUCGCACUCCCUUAUCAUAGAUAGUAUAGUUUUGUCAGGCUCACCGUGUCUGGUAGUACGAGUACCUUCAGCCGGGAAGCAAUCCCCAACUAUUGAUAGGCGUUCGAAACACAAGUGCCCUCGAUAGGUCCUCAAAGUAACCAAACCAUAACUAUCCUCAUUCCCAUCUACACCUGAGUGUAUAGGGACCUAUUAUAGCUCCUUAAUUGUCCCUCCUUCCUAGACAAGACAAAACACUCAUACUCAAUUCAACAAUGUCAAACAAUUAACCAUUUAUGUUUAUAAAAUUGAUUAGCCACUUCAGAAUUUUUAUUCAAUUAGUACAGUGAUGUAAAUCAAACCAAUAUAUAAUAACUCAACAAUUAAUGAUCAACAUAUGUUCUUUUUCAUUUAUUUAUAUACUCAUUCACUUAGACAAGAGUAAUACCAAAUAAACAUAAUAUAACUAUCUAAUCAAUUCAUCAUUUACAAAACUUUUUCUUCUAUUAAUUAUAUUAACUCAAACACAUAUAAGUUGAUGUCAUUUGACAUGUACUUUUUCUUCAGAACUAAACUACUGUCACUUUCUCAUCUGAUAAAAGAACAUUCUAAUACUAUGUUGUUGUUUUCUUCCUAAAAGAAGGGUUGUGGGGACUGAGUCUGAGGUUAUUUUAGUAGUAAAUCUUGUGUCUUUCAAAAGAAUAAAGAAUGACCAUAGAUUGAAUAGAGAAAGUUUAAAAAAGGAAAGGAAGAGAGAGAGAAAACUAAGCUGAUUUUCUAGAGAGAAGAGAGUUUUGUGGUGUGAGUUUUAUGUUCAGCUAAACAUCUUAUUUAUUGGAAGGUGAGAAGUGUAGGUGUACACUUAUUGAAAUUUAUCUCAGGGUUUCUCUUUCUUAAAUAUCUAUUUUUUUUUUUUAAAUAAAUUUUGAGAAAACGUGGGGAGAAAGUAUAUAACUUUCUUUUUUUUCUUUUUCUUUUAACAACAAAAAUUACUCUCUCCACCCCUUCUUUCACUUUUCAACCCUUCUAUUAUUAUUAUUCUAUUAUUUAUUUAUUUUAAUAUACUUUUGAAUAAAGCAUAAAAUUUUAGGAUGUUACAUUACUACCCCACUAAAUAAAAUUUCGUCCUCGAAAUUCGUAUACCUUCAAAUAAUUCUGGAUAUUGAAGUCUCAUCUUCUCUUCUAAUUCCCAUGUGGUGUCUCAUGUCGUUUGAUCCCACACAACUUUGACCAAAGAAAUUUGUUUACCUCUAAGUUGUUUGAUUCUCUUGUCAUCGAUCUUUACAGGUAAUGACUCAUAUGACAAAUUUUCUUUUAACGGUACUAUAUCAGGCUCAAUCAUAUGAGAUGGAUCGGAAAUAUAUUUCCUCAGUUGUGAAACGUGAAACACAUCAUGGAUGUUUGAAAGAAAAGGGGGCAAAGCAAUUUGAUAUGCAUCUGGGCCAAUGCGACGAAGAAUUUGAUAUGGUACAAUAAAUUUAGGAGUCAGUUUUCUAGACUUAAUAGCUCUACCUACCUCAGUCGUCGAAGCGACUCUCAAAAAUAUGUGAUCACUUUCCUCAAAUUCAAUAGGUCUUCUUCGUCUGUCUGAGUAAUUCUUCUGUCUGCUUUGCGCGGUACGCAUCUUUUCACGGAUCUAUUUGACUUUGUCGGUCGUUUAUUGUACAAUCUCUGGUCCUAAAAUGCUGCUUUCCCCAUCUUGAUACCAGCACAUCAGUGUUUGACAUUUCCUUCCAUACAGAGCUUCAUAGGGUGCCAUUCCUAUGCUUGAAUGAAACUGUUGUUGUAGGUAAACUAAAUUAAUGGUAAUAAAUUAUCCCAACUUCCCCGGUUAUCCAAGACACAAGCUCUCAGUAAAUCUUCUAGGGAUUGAAUGGUCCUCUCUGUUUGUCCAUCAGUUUGUGGAUGAUAUGCAGAACUUAAUCUUAAUCUGGUUCCUAAAGAUUUUUGUAAACUCCUCCAGAAAUGAGAUGUGAAUUUCGGAUCCCUAUCUGAAACGAUACUUGAGGGUAUGUCGUGCAGUCUAAUGAUUUCCUUAAUAUAAAUCUGAGUCAACUUUUCUACAUCGUAGUUAGUGUUAACAGGCAAGAAAUGAGUUGAAUUUGUCAAUCGAUCGACAAUGACCCAUAUUGAAUCAAAAUUAUUUCUGGUUUUUGGCAAUCCUACGACGAAAUCCAUUGAAAUGCUUUCCCACUUCCAUUCAGGUGAGUCUAAAGAUUGGAGCAUUCCAGCAGGUCUUUGAUGUUCUACCUUUGCUUUUUGACAUAUCAGGCACGAGGCAACAUACUCAGCAACUUGCUUCUUCAUUCCUGGCCACCAAAAUUUUUGUUUUAAAUCUUGAUACAUUUUGGUUGUUCCUGGAUGAAUACUUAGUUUGCUUUUAUGUGCUUCGUCCAAAAUCAUUUUUCUUGUCUCCGGAUUAUUUAGGAUGCAAACCCUCCCAUUACAGCGUAAAAUUCCGUCUGCUCCCAAACCAAAUUCCUAAUUUGUUCCUUGUUCAAUCCAUCUUAUCUUCUCCUGAAGUUGGUCAUCUGUUGCUUGUUGCUCUUUUAUUGUAUCCAUCAUUCCAUUUGAUAUCUUUACCAUUCCCAAAUGAAUUAUUAGAUCUCGAUAUUUUUCUAUCAGCUCUAAGUCUUUGACCAUCAUUGCAGAUAUAUGAAUUGUCUUACGACUUAGCGCAUCAGCUACAACAUUUGCCUUUCCAGGAUGGUAUAGCAGGGCAAAGUCGUAAUCUUUAAGAAAUUCAAUCCAUCGUCUUUGCCUCAUGUUGAGUUCCUUUUGAUCAAACAAGUACUUUAAACUCUUGUGGUCGCUAAAAACUUCAAACUUUGCUCCAUACAAAUGAUGCCUCCAGAUUUUCAACGCAAACACGACUGCAGCUAACUCCAGAUCAUGCGUAGGGUAAUUCUUUUCGUGGGUCUUAAGCUGCCUCGAUGCAUAUGUCAUUGCCUUCCAAUGUUGCAUGAGAACGCAACCUAGUCCUUGAUGUGAAGCAUCACAGUAGACUUCAUAAGGCUCAUCUGGUUGCGGUAGGACCAAUACUGGUGACGUUGUUAAUUUUUCCUUCAUUGUUUGGAAACUUUCUUCACACUUUUUAGUCCAGAUGAAUGCUUGUUCCUUUCUCGUAAGUUGUGUUAAUGGUGCUACUAUCUUUGCAAAUCCUUAAAUGAAUCUUCGAUAGUAUCCAGCCAAUCCAGCAAAACUUCUGAUCUCCAUCAUCGACUUUGGUUGUUCCCAUGAGAGCACAGUCUCUACCUUCGCUGGGUCUACGACACUACCAUUUUUUGUGAUGACGUGACCUCCUCACCAAUUUUAUGAUUAUGCAAUGGACUCCACUUGUGUAUAUCUACAUACAACUCAACAAUACAUACAACGACAAUAUGAACGACAACAACUGCUGCUCAACAAUGCAUAUAUAUGAAUAUGACUUACACUUCAACAUUGUCAACUUGUGACACAGCAACUUUUGUUACAACAUCAUUCAACAACCUGUAUAAUUUAUUUAAAUAUAAUCAUACGUAGAACAACAAUCAAUAAUCAUAUAACCCCCAAUACUUAACUCCCCUUUAUUUCAUUUAACUCCCACUUAAUUCUAUUAAUUAAAAUAUAACCCCAAAACUUCAAAUAAUUCUAUUUCUCACAUUAUUCUAAAUAAUACCAAAAAUAAAUCAUAUAAUAAAAUAUAACACACCACAAAACCAACAAUAAUUAUUUAAAAUCAUAUAAAAGACUCUAAAUAAAUCAGAAAAAAAUAAAUAACGACUAGGGCGUUACAACUCUCCCCAACUUAGAGAAUUUCGUCCUCGAAAUAUUACCUCAAGCAAACAACUCUGGAUAAGACUCCCGCAUCUUACUCUCCAGCUCCCACGUCAAACUUUCACCAGUUACUCCUCCCCAAACAACCUUCACUAGAGGUAUAUCCUUGCCUCUCAACUUCUUCACCUCACGAUCUUCGAUUCUCAACGGUAACGUCUCAACCGUAAGGUUGUCUCUAACCUGCACAUCAUCUCUCGGAAUCACAUGCGAAGGAUCCACUACAUACUUUCAAAGUUGCGACACAUGAAACACAUCAUGCAAAUUCGAAAGAUGUAUGCAUCUUUCUUCUUCACCAACAACACUGGUGCUCCCCAAGAUGAAACACUUGGUCUAAUGAAUUGUUUCGAUGAUAAGUCCUCAAUCUGAGAUUUUAGUUCUGCUAACUCAUUGGGUGACAUCCUAUAUGGCGCGAUUGAAAUUGGACCUGAUCCAGGUACUAGAUCGAUCGAAAAUUCGAUGUCUCUAACUGGGGGUAAACCUGGAACAUCUUCUGGAAAUACAACCUGAAAAUCUUUUGCGACUGGUAUUACGUUUAACACUAAGUCACUCUCGACUUCUAAGGAAGAUAAUAACAUGUAGUCUUGGGCUCCUUCUUUUAAGGAAGCUUUUACUUGGUUGGCAGAUAUUAAUCCAGAAACCUCGGGUUUAGGAAAUAUUACACUCUUAUGUGCACAAUCUAAAAGGAUCUGGUUGGAAGAUAACCAGUUCAUGCCUAAAAUCACAUCUAAUUGUGUUAAAGGCAAACAUAUUAAGUCAACAAGGAAUUUUCUAUCCGGGACAACAAUAGGAUAGUUUUGACAUACAAAAUAUGCAGAAAUAGGUUCAGAAGUUGGAGUAGAAACAAUUAAGUGAAAAGGUAAUGACGUAAUUGGUAAAUUUAACUGUUUCACACGAUCCAUGGAAAUAAAUGAGUGGGUUGCGCCUGAAUCAAAUAGUACAGUUAGAAGAUUACUUGACAUAUCGCAACUUCCCUGUAUGAGAUCUUUAGAUUGAGAAGCUUCAGCACCAUUCAUAGUGUAAUCUCUUCCUCUGAAAGUUGGUUUGACAGCUUUCACAUUGUUCAUCUUUGGCACAACUCUUGGGUUUGAGCAGUCUCUAGCCAUAUGUCCUAGUUCUCGACAUUGAUAGCAUACCAAUCCCUUAAUUGGACAAGUGUUUGCCAAAUGGUCUGUUUUUCCACAUUUGAAACAUCUUCGGGUAUUGUCUUGAGGUUGGUUCUUUUUUUGUCCUCCCCCAAAUGCAUAUGCGACUGGACGAUAAGGUUGUUGAUCACGGUUGUUAUUUGAAGUUCGUGAAUAUGGUUUCUUUUGUGGUGACUUUCCUUUCUGGUUCGAUCCUUGUUAAGGAUGUUUCCACCUAGAUGGUCCUCCUACAUUGUUCCGAUUAAGUCGACUUUCUUUCAUCCUUUCUACCUUUCUACAUUUUUCAACCAAGGGGUUGAAACUGACGAAUUUCAGAUUCGUUGAUACUAAAUCUAAGUCCACCUUCAAAUCUUUCGCACAACCAAUCUUCGUCAAUUUGAUCCUGGAAGAAACGAAAGUGUUUGGACAAUGAUUCAAACUUUGCCGCAUAUUCAUCAAUUGUCAUUCCACCUUGUUUCAAGAGAAGGAACUCUUGUUCUUUGUUAGUUCUAGCACUUCUAGGAAAAUACUUGUCAAGAAAUUUUGUGCGAAAUACUUCCCAAGUAACAUCUUGAUUGUUAGCUUCAAUUAUCUUGCGAGUUCCUUUCCACCAGUAUUCGGCAUCUCCUAACAGUAAAUAAGAUACAUAUGUAACUUUUACUUCGUUUGGACACCUUAACACAACAAAUAUAUUUUCUAUCUCUUGGAGCCAUAAGUCAGCCUUCUCUGGUUCUGUUUCUCCAAGAAAUUGUGGAGGAUCAUGGCGUCCGAAGUCUACCAGUCCUUUAUUUUCAGCAUUUCGUUCUUCCCUCUGUUGUUUUCGAAUAUCCCUUUCAGUUUUAGCAUCAGUUUGUUCUGCAAUACUUGCUGCCAUUUCUGCCAUAGCUUGAAUAGCCCUUUCCAUACUUCCUUCGGUAUUGGUUGCAUCUCCAUUUUCCGCUUCUAUACGAUUAUUUCUACGAGUCAUUGGGUUCCUAAAAUUUAUAAUUGGUUAGAACCCAAUUAUUAAAUUAUAGAAUAAUCUACACAAAGUUAGUACACACAAACGCAAUAAUUCAGACAUUCUCUAAAUAUCCCAAAUGAAUCGACCUGCUCUGAUACCACUAAUGUAACACCCCUAUUUUUAUCUCACUUUAUAGGGCGCGUCACAUAUAAUGAUAAGCGCAAAAAUGUAAAUAAAUAUAAUUCGACCGCGUCAAAGUAGGGCAUGUCAAAAUAAUAAUAUUAUUUAUUUCCUGGUCUUAAUUAUUAUUAUUUUUCCCUUUUCUUAAGAUCCUUUUUUUUUUAUCGUAUGUUUCUUUUAAAGGAACUUUUACACAACAAAAUUUUUGAAACAUAAUUAAUACACAUUUAAUCCAUAAUAUAUAUAUAUAUAUAUAUAUAUAUAUAUAUAUAUAUAUAUAUCAUUCGGUCUAAGCCUGCGGCUCAUAAUGCUAAAGUCUUCUUAGUGAAUAUUUUACAAUGAUCCAUAAUUCUUCAUGAGACUUAAUAUUAACAAAAUAUAAAUGCCAUCUAGCUAGAGUCAUAAUGUAUCAGUCAUACUACGCCAUCCUACUAUGUCACCAAGACUAGCUACCAUCCAAAAUAUAGAGUUUUAAGAGACAUUAAGUACACAACAAACUAGUUAGCACUCUUAAACUCUUUCUUGCACACAAAAUGUCAUAUCUAAAGAUUUCCAUUAGGGUCUCCCCCAAUGAACUCUCCCUCCUCAAGGUACUCCUCUGGGUCCUCCUCCGGGUCCUCCUCUGGAUCCUCCUCUGGAUCCUCCUCCUCAUGUGCAUGGCCACCUCCUACUCCCAGAUCAGCAACAUCAGCAGGAUCAGCAACAGGGGGAACAAAGGGCUCUUGUGGGUCUGGCCCUACAAGUGGGACAACACCCAUGUCAUGGGGAGCUAGGUACAACCUCUGAAAUGGUAGAAUCAUCUCUGUGGUUUCACGAGUAACAAUAGUCGUAGUAGGCUGGCCACCGAAUCCUGUGGUAGUGCGAACAAGUCUGGUAAAAAUCAUUGUUUGGGUGGCCAAAUUUAUUUCCCAAUCAUCGCGUCUCGGAUCCUCAAGGAACUCGAUCCUGCGGGUUCCCGAGUGAGCUAAAUGUCUUCCUGUCAUCAUCUACAAAACGUCCGAACAUACCCAAAAAAAACAAGAAGAUACAAAAACAACAAAGAAGGGUGAAUUACUCGUACACAAGUUUUCCACGUGAUUUAUUACAUAAGGAAAAAGACAAUAAUAUAUAUAUUCAGUAAGGUAAAGUGAUAUUUCCAUAUAUAUAAUAUUUUCUUUUCAUUCAUUGUCCAACAACAAUUACAAAGCAUGAAAUAAAAACUAUCUUUUAAGAGGUCAAAUUAGAAUUAAUAGUUUGACAUUCAAAAUGACACAUGCAUGAACUCUUUUGACCCUUUUUCUCGACUCUAAUUCAUUUUCUUCUCAAAAUUCACUACUCCAUGGAGGUUCCACUCUAAUAAGCAUAAGGCCGUUUCGGAAACUAUAUCAUGAUUAUUAGUAUUUUGAGCAAGAUAUGCUUAAACUCUAAUCAUUCUAGUUCGAUCGCACUACCUUAUCAUAGAUAGUAUAGUUUUGUCAGGCUCACCGUGUCUGGUAGUACGAGUACCUUCAGCCGGGAAGCAAUCCCCAACUAUUGAUAGGCGUUCGAAACACAAGUGCCCUCGAUAGGUCCUCAAAGUAACCAAACCAUAACUAUCCUCAUUCCCAUCUACACCUGAGUGUAUAGGGACCUAUUAUAGCUCCUUAAUUGUCCCUCCUUCCUAGACAAGACAAAACACUCAUACUCAAUUCAACAAUGUCAAACAAUUAACCAUUUAUGUUUAUAAAAUUGAUUAGCCACUUCAGAAUUUUAUUCAAUUAGUACAGUGAUGUAAAUCAAACCAAUAUAUAAUAACUCAACAAUUAAUGAUCAACAUAUGUUCUUUUUCAUUUAUUUAUAUACUCAUUCACUUAGACAAGAGUAAUACCAAAUAAACAUAAUAUAACUAUCUAAUCAAUUCAUCAUUUACAAAACUUUUUCUUCUACUAAUUAUAUUAACUCAAACACAUAUAAGUUGAUGUCAUUUGAUAUGUACUUGAUCGCUAGAAAUUACCACGUCAUCGAGAAAUUAACUCUCACAAGUAGAGUUAUUGACUCACAUAUAAUCACUUAAGCACAUAACUUAUGCAAAAUCUUUAAAAUUUAUUAGUAGUAAUUCCCCUUACCUUCGGAUUCUUCGAAAGUGGUUGCAAUAUCGUUUCCGUUGAAAGCAGCUCCAAUAUCACCUAGAAUACUCACCCAAAAUAAACUACCUAUUAGACUAUAGUCAUUAUCAAGGUCAUAAUAAUAGAAUUAACUAGUUAAAGUUUUCUAAUUCCUUUGUUUCUCUGUAUCACGUUUUUUUUUUCUUUUCUAGUUAUAUUAGGUAUAUUUUAAUAAUAGUUUGAUUUUAUUUUAUUUCAAAUGAAACUUAUGUUACUACCUUCUUAUAUAGUCAGAAUGUUUAAAAGCCAUUUAAUAGUCAUUACUUCAUUCUUAAAACAAUGUUCAUUUCUUUAUUUUUCUUUAAACUAACAAUAUGAACUAAACAAGAUCUCAACUUUCUUUUGAACUUUGUUUUAACCUUCAUAGUUUGUAUCAGUAUAAAAAAUACAAUAAUUAAUUAGUGUAAUUUUUUCUACUAAAAGUCUAAAACAGAUAUGAGAUCUCUUUAUUUUAUUUUAUUGAAUGAUGUUUCUGUUGAAAAAGAAUGGUUGAAAAGAACUAAACUAUUUUCAUAGUUUGAUUAGGUUGAAAAGAACUAAACUACUUUCAUGGUUUUGUUAGGUUGAAAAGAACUAAACUACUGUCACUUUCUCAUCUGAUAAAAGAACAUUCUAAUACUAUGUUGUUAUUUUCUUCCUAAAAGAAGGGUUGUGGGGACUGAAUCUGAGGUUAUUUUAGUAGUAAAUCUUGUCUCUUUCAAAAGAAUAAAUUUUGUUAGGUUGAAAAGAACUAAACUACUGUCACUUUCUCAUCUGAUAAAAGAACAUUCUAAUACUAUGUUGUUGUUUUCUUCCUAAAAGAAGGCUUGUGGGGACUGAAUCUGAGGUUAUUUUAGUAGUAAAUCUUGUCUCUUUCAAAAGAAUAAAUAAUGACUAUAGAUUAAAUAGAGAAAGUUUAGAAAAGGAAAGGAAGAGAGAGUGGAAACUAACCUGAUUUUCUAAAGAGAAGAGAGUUUUGUGGUGUAAGUUUUAUGUUCAGCUAAGCAUCUUAUUUGUAGGAAGGUGAGAAGUGUAGGUGUACACUUAUUGAAAUUUAUCUCACGGUUUCUCUUUCUUAAAUAUCUAUUCUUUUUCUAUUUUUUAUUAAAUAAAUUUUGAGAAAACGUGGGGAGAAAGAAUAUAACUUUUUUUUUUCUUUUAACAACAAAAAUUACUCUCUCCACCCCUUCUUUUACUUUUCAACCCUUCUAUUAUUAUUAUUCAAUUAUUUAUUUAUUUUAAUAUACUUUUGAAUAUUAGCUUAAAAUUUUAGGAUGUUACAGCUGGUGCUGGUGCUAAUGGUGAAGUUAGCAUGUUGGAAACUUUUCUGAGGAAUCAUCCACCUACUUUUAAAGGGAGUAUGAUCUAGAUGGAGUUCAGUCGUGGCUCAAAGAAGUUGAAAGAAUUUUCCGGGUCAUGCAAUGCAGUGAACUUCAAAAGGUGCGCUUUAGUACACACAUUUUAGCAGAGGAAGCUGAUGAUUGGUGGGUUAGUAUUCAACCAAUCCUAAAGCACGGAGGUGGAGUUGUUGUGUUUAGGAGAGAGUUCUUGAACAGAUACUUUCCGGAAGAUGUUCGCGGGAAGAAAGAGAUUGAGUUUCUUGAGCUGAAGCAGGGUGACAUGUCGGUGACCGAGCAUGCUGCAAAGUUUGUGGACCUGGCUAAGUUUUAUUCGCACUACACUACUGAGACUGCUGAGUUCUCCAAGUGCAUCAAAUUUGAGAAUGGCUUGCGUGCUGAGAUCAAGCAGGCCAUUGGAUAUCAGAAGAUCCGUAAAUUUUAUGAACUGGUGAGCAGUUGCAGAAUCUAUGAGGAAGAUACGAAAGCUCAUUACAAGGUUGUGAAUGAGAGGAAGGGUAGGAGUCAGCAAAGUCGUCCAAAGCCUUACAGUGCUCCUGCUGAUAAGGGUAAACAAAGGGUGAAUGAUGUGAGGAGGCCUAGAAAGAAAGAUACUACUGCUGAGGUUGUUUGCUACACUUGUGGUGAGAAAGGCCACACGAGUAAUGCUUGUACUGGGGAUGUGAAACGAUGUUUCCAUUGUGGUAAGAAAUGGCAUACUAUUACAGAAUGUAAGCAUGAUGAUGUGGUGUGUUUCAACUGCAAUGAAGAAGGUCAUAUUGGUUCGCAGUGCAAGAAGCCUAAGAAGGCUCAGACUAGUGGGAAAGUGUUUGCUUUGACUGGUACACAGACAGUGAAUGAGGACCGGUUGAUUAGAGGUACAUGUUACUUUGAUAGUACUCCUUUAAUUGCUAUUAUUAAUACUGGUGCUACGCAUUGUUUUAUUGCUGUUGAUUGUGCUUCUAAGUUGGGUCUUGUUAUGUCGAAUAUGAAUGGGGAAAUGGUUGUCGAAACUCCAGCUAAGGGUUCGGUGACUACUUCUCUAGUGUAUCUUGUAACACCCCGUUUUCCCAAUAUAAAUAUUUCUUAAAACAUUUAUCAGAGUAAGCAUCAUAAACAACGGGAUAUCACAUAUAACAUAAUCCAAAAACAGUUAAAUAAUAAUUUAACCAAAUAUCUUAAACAUUGCAGCGGAAAUUAUAUCAUAAUCCAUAAAACGUUUUGGCANNNNNNNNNNNNNNNNNNNNNNNNNNNNNNNNNNNNNNNNNNNNNNNNNNNNNNNNNNNNNNNNNNNNNNNNNNNNNNNNNNNNNNNNNNNNNNNNNNNNCCCAUUUUGGAGCCUAUUUUGAUGUAUAUAUGCAUGUAGUUUUUCCAAAUUCCAAAAUUAAUAGUUAGUUUUAAUAUUUAACUAUUAAUUGUUUGUUUUUAAGAAAAAAAUAAUAUAAAUUUUUAAGUUUGGGGGGCAUUUUGCACAUAAGUGCAAAACUUCAGGGGGAGUAUUUGCAAAACGUAAUGUUCACUAACAGAAAAAUUUGACGGAGGGAAUAAAUUGACUAACGUUGUGAAAUUUCAGGGUGUAAUUGAAGUUUUAUUAAUUUCAGAGGGGUAAUUGAUGAAACUUACAAUUUCAGGGGGGAAAUUGACUAUUUACUCAUCACAUAUUCAUCCAAGGAGUCUGGGUAUCCUCCAUUUACCCCAUUUAGGGUCAUGGAUGAAUGACAUCUGGUAAAUAAAGAAUUCAAUGGUUCAGAUUAAAAAUAAUGAAAAUAAAAUUAAAAUUAAAAAUGUUUGUUAACUAAAAAAAAAAAAACAAUUUCUCUUUUCUCUCUUCUCUGAUCUCUCAUCAUCAUCUUCCAUAGCCACUCCACCGCCGUUGUCACUUCUCUCUCCAUCAAUGGCAGUGUCUCCCAUCUCCCCUCUCUUCCUCUCAUCUCCCUCUCGCCACCGCCGUAACCAAUUCAACCAUUGUUGAUAUCCACUUUCACACUUGAUUCAUUCCUUUCCUCUACCGUCGGUCCUUGCCAGUUUUGAAACACUCCGACGAUAAAUUGGGGCAAAUCAGGAUGAUAAAUUUCAGAUCUUAAAAGUUAUCAUGUUAACACACCGGCGAUGGAAAAAACAAAAUAACAAAAAAGUAUUAAACCAUAAAAAAAAAAAAUAAGGGAAGAAAAACAGUGGAGGGAGGUUAUGGAUGGUGAUGAAAAAACGUGUGUGAAAGGGAAGAGGAAAGGUGAAAUAUGGAGGAUAAAUUACAUUAUUAUUUUUUGGAUUAACAGUGCUUUACCUCUUGUAAUAUAGGUUAUUUUUUGUUUUCUUCCUGAAUUUUUUUAUUUUUAUUUACCCCUUAUUAAAUAUUUUUUUUUUUGGAAUACCCCCUAAUAGGUCAUAAAAAAACGAAAAAAUUUUGAAAAAAAAAAAUAAAGUAGUUUUUUUUGCCACGUGUCUUGCAUCCAAGAUCCUAAAUGGGGUAAAUGGAGCAUAUACCUGAACUCUCAUCCAAGUCAUUCAGUAUGUAUCAUCUUUUUAUAUAUCCAAUAUUUUCUCCAUUUUUAAUUGAUGUGGAACUUAAACACUCACACUUAUAACCAAACAAUUAUGUUAACAACGACACAUGAGUCUACACAUUGUUAAAAUUGGGGGCCUAACUCAACCUUACAAAACCGGUUUGUAAGGUGAGGAUUGCCUCGUCUUUAUAUUUUAUUCUCAAGAGUCUUCUCAUCUAUCCGAUGUGUGACUUGGAUUUCCCCAAUACACAUACCAUAUUGAGACACAAAAUAUACUUCAUUUGAUUAUUUCUUUAGCCAUAAUAUUGUGUUCAAAGUCGGUAUGUGAACUCUUGUGACCAUGUAGAAAUUACCCGAAGCAAUGAUGUUUAUUAGAAGAAAGCAACAAAACUGAAGGAGAAUUGAGCUUUGCAACUUAGUUUGAGAUAGUUUGGGGCACAAGUUACUUCAUUUUCAUUUGAGUUUCUUGUGCAUUUAGAUUUCAUUUCAGUUGCAUUUAGUUUGUUAGAAAUUAGUUAUGAUCAGGUGUUUCAAGCUUCUAUAUAUACCUCAAGUUGUAACAGAUUUCAUUCAAUGAAUAAUAAUCACUUUUUUCCAUUUUUUUUUUUACUUUUUCUUGCUUAUGGAAUUCUCUGAGUGUUCAAUUUCCUCAUAGUUAUCUAGUUCUAAAUCCAAAAUUGAACAAUUAUUCUAUAUGAAACGAUGGCCAUUUUAACACAAAAAUGGAACAAGUUCAAAGUUCUACAUAAUUCCAUUCACAAAUUCGACACUUGAACCAUUUCAACGAUACAUUUCAAUUAAUAUUAUAUACACUACUUCCAAAAUAUUAUUUUUCUUUAAUGAAAAACAAACCAAUAAUUGAUUAUGAUACUUUGGUAAAAUAACAUCUCUCUUUAUUUUAAUUAAUGCAUUUCUUAAUAUGUGUGUAAAAACUUUAAACGACAUUCAUUUUAAAACAGAUGGAGUAGAAGAUUUGCUGCUUGAUUAAAAUUAAUUAACAUUAUAUAUUCUCUUUACACAAUUUUUUACAACAAUUAAAGUUAGAAAUAAUCCUUUAUAAUAUGAACUUAUAAGUUCAAUGACGUUGAAAGAUAUAUCAACCUACAAUGAACAAUGUCGGUAAAGAUUGAGAAUCUUAACUAUUUUUUUGAAUUGUCACUACAAGCUAAUUUUAUAUUUAAAACAAUAUAUUUAAUCAUUAAGAUUUAGAUUAAAUUUUGUUUUAAUUUUUCUUUAAACAAAUCAACAUGUUGAGUUUUAUUUUAAAAAUAAGGAUUCAAUUUGUUUGUUAAGUUCACAUAUUAUUAGAGUCAAUUCAUUUAUGGUCUGUGGUAAUCUAUAAUUUUUAAAAUGUUUGAAAUAUAUAAGUUUUGAUCACCACAUGUUAAAGAAUAUUGAGACAUGAAUUUUAAAUUUUCUUUGAGGAUAUUGUAUUUCUGAGAUAGAUAUCGUCAAAGAAUAAUUAUUAAUAUUUUGGUUAAGAGUACUGUUUUUGUUCCCAACAUGCUUGGUGGGCUGGUCUCUUGUUAUAUAUACAUUGCUGCUUCAAAAAACAAAACAAAAAAAACUGUUUUUGUUUCCAAUAAUAUUGAAAUAUAUACUUUUCAUUUUAGAUUCUUUCACUUUUGCUUUUUCAUUAACCUUGUCAGCAGUAUCUGCAUAUGUGACACGCUGACAAUACAGUGUAAUGUUUCCCUACUUUCAUUAGUGUAGAUGAAUUAAAAAAGCCACUGUUCAAUCUAAGUUAAGCUAAGCUUAUCGUACUGAAUGAACGCAUGAGUCAUGAUAUCAUGUUUUGAUUCAUGGGAUUAGGUUUUAGCUUCAAAACUGUUGUUUCUAACUUAAUAUAGGUCCAAAUCAAUACAACUUUAGAGACUACACAAUGUAGAUUAUAUCUCCUUAAUCUUACUUUAACUACUGCAAUGCGUAAACCAUGUUUGCUAAUUAACUUACAUUUGGUAGCAUGUUUCAUUAAAUGUGAAAGUAUACUUUGUUCCUUAAACAUGCAUUUCAAGGCUAAACUUUUUUUAUGCUUUCAUAUAUAGUCGAUUGUUCAUUUGCCUUUACAAUGUUUUAAUUUGAUUAGCUUAAUCAAAAUUUGAACAAGUUCAAUAGUUUAAAGAAUAGCAUAUACAAUAAUUCACCACAAGACAUAUAAAAGAGCUCGAAAUAUGAGUAGGAGGAAAAACAAGACACCAAAAAUAGUUUGGUUUCAGCAGUCCCGCAUCGAAGUUGCCGAAACAAGCAAGAGGAAUAUUACCAACAAAAGAUCUUUUAGGGGGUGUUUGUUUGAGGGUUACAAAAUUUAUUCUUCGGUAUCAACUUUCUCAGGAAUGUGUUAUCAAUUUUAGCGGGCGUUUGUUUGGACACAAAGUAACUCUUUUCGAACUGAGUAAUUCGGAUUAUAAUAAAUUUUGAUCCAUUGAGUUUUGACUUGAUCCAACAACAUUAAAAAAUUUAUUUCAAUUAAAUUUUUUGGUGUUCGGUUGCAGUAAAAUAUCAAUGUACCUAAUAUUGCGUCCCUAAAUAUUUUAUAUGGUUAUUUGGCCUAUGUGUCAUGAUUAAAAACGCUGGAGCCAAUUUGAUCAUAGUUCAGUUAGGUGAAUAUUUAAAAAUCAAAAUACCUUCAUCUUUAAUUUUUUAAAUUAAAUAUUUAAAAAAUAAAUUAAGCUACGUGUGUACAUUACUGGUUUGAAAUUAAUAUAAAAAAUAGAUUAAAUUAUGUGUGAACUUGAUUAAUUUCAUAAGCUAUUUGUGUACAAAGCAAUAAUUCCUUUAAUAAUUUAAUUACUUUAUCAAAGAUUGCUACCAUUUAUACUAUAAAAUUAGAUUUUUUUCAUUUCAUACUUUAUGUUAAGGUUCUUCGAAGUUUAGUAGCCUUACAUAACAAACAUUGACACGUAACUACAUUUGGCUAACUUUUUUUUUUGGUGGUGUCUGAGGUUUGAAUCCCAACCUUGCAUAUAUCAUGCAUUGUCCCUACGAACUGAACUAAGUUUACGAGGACCUACACUUAACUAACUAUAAUACAAAGUAAAGAUUCCUAUCACAAUUCUAUUAUUUUAUCAAAGAUUANGUUGUUUGUGAAUCUCACCCCUUCUGCUUGAAAAUGUUGCCCUUCGUAUGGGUAACUUGCAGGUGAUCCAGAAUAGUAGAAGUGGUGGCUCAAGUGUCAUAGGGCUCUGAUACGUAACGGGAUGGGAAAUUGUUGUUUUAUUUUCAUUCCUUAUGCAUCAAUUUUUGGAACAUGUUGUUGGAACCUUUAUUGUUGUUGAACAAAUUGUUGAUCGAUAAUUAUGUUGAGGCCUUUGAGCUAGAAUUUAUUGAUGUUAAGUGAUCGAAAAAUAUUCCGCUGCAAAGUAUUGAUUUAUCUAUUAAAGUUGAUUUUAAUAUAUAGCAUUUUAUUCUAUUUAAGAAAUUUUGAAAAGCAGUGUGACAUUCCCGUUUGUUGUUGAACUCUGGUUUAUUUUAUUUAAUAUUUAGCUGUUGGGUUAACGGGGUGUUACAGUUUUUAGAGACUUCGGGGUGAAUUCGGUUGAAAAGUAUGCUGGAUUGUGCUGAAAUAUGCUGGAAAUUGGUUGAAAUCAAGCUCAAAAUCAACAAUUACUAAACCAAAACACUAGAUAUUCAAAAUUAACCGAAUCAGAAUUGAAAUUUACGAAUUGAAUAAACGAAUGAAAGAGGAACGAGAUCCGUUACCUUCAGCAACUUCGAGCCACAACACCAUUGUAACAAAAACUGUUAUAAAUCAUGGAAUCCCAUGGAUAAAGAUCAUAAUGAUCAGUAAGAAAGAGAACAUAAGAGUAUUCAUGUGGAAGAUACCCAUAGAGACUUAUAGUGGAAUGAACUUUAUUUGAUAAAUGAUGAAUGGAAGUACAAUAGUCGAAAGUUAUUUAUAAGGGUGAGUUAGUGUAACUAACUCCUAACUACCUAACCAACCAACUAACUAUAGUUCUCAUAUAAACUAACUAUGGUUUAUUCACUAUACUCUAAUAGUCCCCCUCAAACUCAAGAUUGAGAAAUUCACCAAUUUGAGUUCCAAACAUAAGAAUGAAGGAGAAACGAUGUACUGCUAACUGAACGGGAUUUAACAAAACAACUUGUACCAAUCGUGCUUUCAAAAAAUGCUUUUCCAUAAUUUGAUGCAAAAUAACUGCUUCAAAACAUGCUUCUGUGAGGUGAAGCAAGAAAAUGCCAUAAUCUGCAAAACGUGCUUCUUCCAAAAACAGCUUUUCUAAACACUUAAUCAGAAGAACUUCUGCAUAACGCUGCAUAAAGCGCUUCUGAAUCGACUUACAAAAGAAACAACAUAACCGUAAUUUCGUAAAAUAUGAUUCUGCAAAGGAUUAUGCGAACAUGGACCAAAACAGCUUUUCCAAACACGCUAUUGAAAGCGCUCUUCUGCAACGCUCUUCUGUAAAAGAAACGCGAUUUCAUCGAAAACAGCUUUUUCUGGCAAUAACUUAUGGACCUGUUUAGAAUCAGAGAAUGGAACAACAAAACAAUACAACAUGCUGAUUUUUCCAGAUCGUACUACGAUUUUUUCCAAAUGGGAACUGCCAGAUUUGGUCCGAAAAUCGUGCUGCGAUUUUAACAAAUUCCCAAACAUCAAUUUUGAUUCACUUUCAAAACAUUAAUAAUAUACAUUCAUUUCCUAUAGAUAUAUGAAGAAUAAGUGGCAUAACAAUAUAGUCGAUCACGAUGCUUUCGUGAUUUUAAUAUUCACAAUAUUUAGCAUUUUCGUCAAUAAUUACACGAAAUGCACUUCUUCUCCUUCGAACAUACAAAAACCUUUCAUCCACAUUGUACUACUGCUGUUUAGUAUUUCUCUUCUGUCAUAUCAAUUUUCUUGUUUUUAAUUAAUAUCCAAGAAAAAUAAUCUUGAGUAUGUUAAGUGGUUCAAAAACAUUGUUUUGGAAUUCCUUUACUUGUUCUCUUAUGGCCAUGCCCAUGUCUUCAUUUUUAUUCAAAACUGUGUACUAUAUAAUAAGAGGAAAUUGAGGUACUGUAGAUCCUCCAUUAAUCCAAAAUUGAACAAGUUCAAAGUUCUAAAGAAUAGCAUAUACAGAUUCGAAACUUGAUUUGAUAAAUGAUUCAUUAAACUUGGUUUAUAAAUUAAAUGAGUUGAACUUGAGCUGAAAAUUAAGUUAUAUAACCAAGACGUAAAAAACAGCUAGACACAUGAGCGGAGGAAGAAUAAGACAUAUAAAAUAGUUUGGUUUGAAUAGUCCCACAUCGAAAGUUCUUAACCAACCUAGAGGAAGAUUUGGUUAUAAAAGCAACUACUCGGUGAUGUCCACUUAAUUCAUAAUAAUUAAGUUCUAUAGAGUAAUUUACGGUGCAUUGAUUUUUGAGCUUUUUUAAAUAAUUUUUUUCGAAAAACAUCCUUUAAAAUCAAUGUACCCAAUAAUUAGUAGUAUUUUUUUUUUUUCAACUCCGUAACUUGCGUCAGAGUUUGUGGUGUUAUUUUUUAUGAAAUUGUGUUUUCCUAUGAUACUCUUAGCCAUUUAUUAUUUCACUCUAUUAUUUCUCUCCACAAUAUAUAGGUAAGAGAAUUAUUGACAAACCAAUAUUUAAUGUUGCAUUUAAACUUAAAUGUGACAAGUCAAGUGGAACAAAUUAAAGUUAGAGUAAAUUACACUCUCAUCC